UCUCACUGGCACGAGGGUGAAAGUGAGGAGGGUUUUGACCAUUAGGUUCAUAAUCGAUACGAGCCACUGACACCCCAAGAGCGUUUUCUCCUGGUAAUUGAUCAACAUUUAUAAGAUUGACAAUUGAGCCCACAUAAUUUGAUGUGUUUCCUGGAAUAUUCAGCCCUUGAUACAAGAAAUCCUCGGCCACGGUCAGGUUUGGGUUCUUGCAGAACUUCCCAUUUACAAAUACUGCAUGAAGAAGGAAAAAAGAAAAGAUAUAUCAUUAGUAUCGAACCAUACUCACCAUAUCAAUAAAAAGAGAAGUACUGAAAAUAGCUAUAAGAUCAUUGGUUACUAUAGAAAUACCAGCAUUCUUGGGCUCAUCAACGGCAACACAGGUGUCUUCCAGUGGGCUUGGAUCAUAGGCAGAGGCAAGAAAGGAAGCCAAUGCCAUGAAGGCCACGGUUACCAGGAAACUAACGCUUUUCUUCAUUGUUAGAGUACUGUCUCCAACAAUCACAAUAUUUAUCUUUAGGCGGGGAUAAGAAAUUUAGCAUGGAAAAGAUGUUAAUUUAUAGACCAGAGUCGGUGAGUUAGUCUUUGCAUAAACUCACCAAGUCUUCAAUGGGAAGUUUUUUCUUCUUUCUUUUUUCACUUUCGAGGACAAGCGGUUGCACCAAUACAUGUUGAUUUACGUAGGAUUAGUCAGUAUACAGAUCUUAACCAGAAUAUAAAGCAAUGUACAAUCAGGUGGAGGCAGGUCCAAUUUAAUAUCAAUCUGUAUGAUCCAUACGUUUACAUAUAUAGUAGAGCUUUCUGCUCUUUUAGUAGUGUAUGGACAAGCAAAUAGAAGAUUACAGAGUAGGUGCCAGCUUGGACUAUACAAUGACCCACCCCUAUCAAACAUGGUUACUCCAUGAGACUUGUGUAGGUUCAGUUUAAUGAGUAUUUAUAUAGCUUAAUUCACCAUUCGAAGUGUUGAGAGAUUGGCUGAUGAGAUUGAAUAUGUAGCCAAGUUCUGAGUUUCUAGCUCAUGUGCCUUCCACUGAGUGAAAAGUCCUUGGAUAAGCUCUGGGGUUGCCUCAGUUCAAUGAAAAAUUGGGAUAAAUUCAAAGACUUUCUGCUAUAUGCUCACUAGGCUUUCCUCAGUUACAAAAGCUUUGACUAUGAUUUUUAUGCUUGCAGCCUUCCCUGUCUGAGCGGUUGGCUCAAAAGUUACUACUACAAUUAUUAUGGUUUGUGAGAGAAAGAGAUCUUAACAAACACCUUUAAACUAAGACUUUUUAAUUAGUCGUCUUUAACAAGCAAGUCUGUAUUUUCUGGUGAGAAGCAAGAAACCUUACAUUAGCAAAAUACCAAUUAAUUAGAUGAAGUCCUUCGGCUAAUCUAUGCCCUAUAAGUAAGGUAAUUAAGCAGAUCGAUACACUUUCCAAAUCUUCAAUGGAUGUCAUUUUUCAAAUUGAAAGGUUGAACCAUUCUGAGAAUUUUCAAAUUGGACAGGCCAUCUGUAAUCAGAUUGUGAUUAGUGUCAUGACCCAUUAGAUCUUUAUAAGAAGUUGGGGUUAGAGGUUUGUUCACAGUGGAUGUCAUGAGAUUUCUGGGCUUUCAUUUCCAUUCUUUCCUCACUAUUUCAUGACACUGAUGCUUCUCCCACCAUUCAUAUGGUUUGACUCGGACAUCUUAAUUAGUUUUUUCGAUCUCAGUUGAUGGGGGCCGGUUAUACUGGGAUAAUCUAGAGAAGCAAAUUAAUGGCAUCUUUCCAUUAUUGGAUUAUAUGAGGUUGUUGGCCAUGGUUCAAAGUCAUGGUAUCGGACACCAACUCGGUAAGUCUUGAGGCACAUGGGUCUCAACGUCGCAGAUCAAUAUCGGGUGAUACACAAAAAAUUAUAGUUUAAAAGCCCAAAACAAUUUAAAAAGAUUACAAAAAUAAAUACAAAUAAAUGAAGUUAAAAAUUAAUAAAAUAAACUUUUAUUAUAUAUAAAAUUAUUCAAAUUAUGAUAAAAACAUACCUUCGUAAUGAUUUAUAAAAAUAUAAAAAAAUUAAUUUAAUCACUUAAUAUUAAAUAUGCAUUAUUAAAGAUGAAAAUAAUAAAAAGUGAAUUUAUUGUUUAUAAUUUUUUUUAAAUUAAAUAUUUUAAAUUUUUAAAAAAUAUUUUCAAUAUUUUAAAAAAUACAUCUAGGAAUCAUCUUUGAAAAAAGUAAACAUCAUUUUUCUUAUCAAAUAUAUACUAAAUGAAACAAUUAUAAAAAUGGAGAAUUUUUAUUUGAAUGAGCAUAUUUGAAUAUAAUAUAUUUUUUCUAUACAUCUAUUCAUUUUAAUUGACUUUUUAUAUUAAUAUUUAUUUUCUAUUUUAUUUAUGUAAACCUAAAUAUUCAUUAUUAAUUUACCAUUAUCCUAAACCCAUCAAAUUUUCAUUAUCCAUUUAAAUACAAUUAUUCACCACAUAUUCAUUAACUACUUAUUUGUAAUCCUAUCAAAUACCCAUAAACCAUUCACCUCGCAAACACGUAUUUCCUUUUUUUGCACAAUACCCAUUUCCCCUCUAAAACAACACUUUGAGCUCUCUACUUCUUUGCACAAUACCUAUAUUUGAAGGCUAAAAAAAUAACCCCAUGAAGAUACAAGAGGAUGGAGAUGCAAAUAGAAGGAUGAAGAUGCACAAGGUUUGAAGACUCUAAACUCUCCAUACUUCUUCACUUUCAUGAGUUUUGAUUAUCUUCUCUUAUCCACCAUUUCUGCUCCAAUAUUACUAUUUUUUUUCCAUCACCCAUCACCCAUCACCCAAAGAGAUUAGUUUGAAUAUAAUAUUAGGGUUAUCUCAAAGUUUCUUUGUGAUUUAACAAGUUUAUUCAUGAGUCAACCAAAUAUUGGACUCAGGAAUCAGUCCAAUACGGUUCAUGAGCUCUUUAUUUAUUUGUACAAUACCCAUUUUUGAAGGCUCACAACACAACCCUACAAAGAUACAAGAUGAUGAAGAUGCAAAUACAAGGAUGAAAUGCAAAGGGUUUGAAGACUCUGAACUAUUUAUAUUUUUUCACUUUCAUGGGUUUCGAUCUUCUUCUCUCAUCCACCAUUUUCGCUACAAUAUUACUAUUUUUUUCCAUUACCCAUCACUCGAAAAGCUUAGUUUGGACACAAUCUUUAGGUUAUCUCAAAGUUUCCAUGCGAUUCAACAAGUUUAUUUCAUUAGAUAACCAAAUAUUGGACUCAGAUAUCAAUUCGAUACCGGUCAUGGCCAAGACGGAUGUAACUCAGUCGAGUCAAACUAGUCUUGACUAAGAUUUUGAACCCCAUUUGAGCUCUCUAUUUCUUUGCAUGUACAAUGCCCAUUUUUGAAGGCUCACAAAAUAGCCCUAUGAAGAUACAAGAGAAUGGGGAUGAAAAGGGUUUGAAGACUCUGAACUCUUCAUACUUCUUCGCUUUCAUGGGUUUCGAUCUUUUUCUCUCAUCUACCAUUUCUACUCCAAUAUUACCAUUUUUUUUCCAUCAUCUACCACCUGAAGAGCUUAGUUUGGAGAUAAUCUUGGGGUUAGCUCAAAGUUUCUUUGUGAUUUAACAAGUUUAUUCAUGAGUCAACCAAAUGUUGGACUUAGGUAUUGGUUCGACACCAAUCAUGGCUAAGGCGGAUAUGACUGAGUUGAGUCGUACAAGUCUCGAUCAAGAUUAUGAGCCCUGUUUGAGCUCUCUAUUUCUCUACACAAUACCCAUUUUUGAAGACUCACAAAAUAGCCUUAUGAAGAUACAAGAUAAUGGAAAUGCAAAUAUAGGUGUAGGACCUCAGGCGCUACCAACUCUCCUAAAAGCAAUUGCUGUUAGGAAAGACGCAUACCCUAACCUUAUAGUGCAUUCACCCAAGCGCCCAUGGAGAACACAAGGGGAGUUUAUGGAUACGACCAACCUUCCGAUCUAUCAGCAAUCUCCCAUACCACUUGUAGGACCUCAGACGCUACUAACUCUCCUAAAAGCAAUUGCUGUUAGGAAAGACGCAUACCCUAACCUUAUAGUGCAUUCACCUAAGUUCCCACGACAAACAUAAGAAGAGUUGAUGGACGCGGCCAACCCUCUGAUCUGCCAACAAUAGGGAUGAAAAUCCAAAGGGUUUGAAGACUCUGAACUUUCCAUAUUUCUACACUUUCAUGGGUUUCGAUCUUCUUCUCUCAUCCACCAUUUUCACUCCAAUAUUACCAUUUUUUUUUCUAUCAACCAUCACCCAAAGAGCUUAGUUUGGACAUAUUCUUAAGGUUAUCUCAAAGUUUCUUUGUGAUUUAGCAAGUCUAUUCAUGAGUCAACUAAAUAUUAGACUUGAGUAUCGAUCUAGUACUGGUCAUGGCCAAGGCAAAUAUGACUCGGUCGUGUCAUACCAAUCUAGAUCAAGAUUUUGAACCUUAUUUGAGCUCUCUAUUUCUUUGUACAAUACCCAUUUUUAAAGGCUCACAAAAUAACCCUAUGAAGAUACAAGAGGAUAAAGAUGCAAAUAUAGGGAUGAAGAUGCAAAAGGUUUGAAGACUCUGAACUCUCCAUAUUUCUUUGCUUUCAUGAGUUUAACUCUUCUUCUCUCAUCAACCAUUUUUGCUCCAAUGUUACCAUUUUUUUCACCAACCAUCACCCGAAGAGCUUAGCUUGGACAUAAUCUUUAGGUUAUCUCAAAGUUUCUUUGUGAUUUAGCAAGUUUGUUCAUGAGUCAACCAAAUAUUGGAUUUAGGUAUCAGUCUGAUACCGAUCAUGGUUGAGGUAGAUAUGACUCGGCUGAGUCUUACCGAUUUCGACCAAGAUUUUGAACCCUGUUUGAGCUCUGUAUUUCUUUGCACAAUACUAAUUUUUGAAGGCUUAUAAAAUAACCUUACGAAGAUACAAGAUGAUGGAAAUACAAAUACAAGGAUGAAGAUGCAAAGGGUUUGAAGAGUUUGAACUCUCCAUACUUCUUGAUUCGUUCCCAAUUGGUGUCUCAGCUGAUUCAUGUCCAGCUGGUGCUCUUUGAUUGAGAGAGUAAUCAACAAAAUUUAUAACCUAUAUCACUAUGCAUUAGGAUAGCUUUAGCUAAUAUAGCAUAGUGGCUCUAGGAUCGUUCACUGGGAAGGGUUUUCAACUCACAACUGAUACCAAUUCAAAGUUAAAUUGGUACUUUUUCAUUUCAAGGUUAGCUUAAGAAAAAAACACAAACUUUGUUUAAAUGAGGUUUUGUUUAAAGGUAACUAAAAAGAAAGUAAUGGAAAUUACUUAUGAAGAAAAACAUUCCUUGGAGGUUUAGGUUCACAGGGGAGGUUUCUUAUGCAAAAACAGAGCUCCGGUCAUUUGGUUCAUUUCCUCGCAUUAGAGAAUUAACAUAUAGUCAAUUCUCUAACCGGUGCUGCACAGAUGUAUCCUUUAAAUGGAUUUCAACUCUAAUUCCCUCUCACUGAUGCAACUUGCAAUGGCUCGUGCCUCUCACCUAGCAUUUUCCAUUCAAUGUGAUCUUUAACUUUGGACUUCUCUUCUCAAGCUCGCAAGAGAUAACUAACGGAUGUCUCCUUGGAGUCCAAAAGCUUACCAAGUGUUGGCAAUUCUAGAAAAUCCUACCUCCAAGUCACUUCCCAAAAGCCCGCAAGAGAUAAACAAGUGCAUCUCCAUGGACGGAGAUCACGUGCCUUACCAAGUGUUGGCUUAAGUGAAUUGAAGGUAUUUUAAGUUAACUAAAAACAUAUAAAUCAUUAAAGGAUCACACUUUCUCUUCAUUAAUGACUGAAACCACAAAGCUACUAAUUCUUGCACUUGGAACCUUUCCCGGCAACCUUAACUCCAAGGAACUAAAAGUCUAGCCACUCAUUCUAUGAGGAAACUUCCUCAGAGCUUGUUUGGCUAGUAAGAAAACUAACGAGAAAACAAUUAUAUGAAGGAAAAACAGAGCAAGUGCUCUAUAAAAUAUAUUUCUUUUUUCUGCCGAUUACAUAAUAUAUCUUUGUAAAGAAAAUUACAAACUAUAUAUAUGAGGUUAUUCACCCUUUGUACUUACUUAAAGACUAAGGAAUCCUAUGAUAGGUGGGUUACAAGGAGACUUUGGGAGGUGGGUUACAAGGAGACUUUGGGGAUUUAGACAACAAAUAUUUAAAGCAAAAUAUCUCAGGAUGUCGGUCGGAAAUAUCAAGAAGCUUCAGGAGAACACCGUGGCACUGUAUACUGAGAGAAAAACUCUCCUGGUAAGCGCUAUCAGAGGAUCCGGAUAAGUUUGACCGGAGAAGUUGAAACGUCCUCCUCUCCCAUCCGGCUGCGAGAUAUCCAGAUGUAAAAUGUCGGCGCACAGAAUUCCGGAUGUGAAAUGUCGACGCACGGAAUUCCUCCCCUGGUGGACUAAGCUAUGUUGCGCAAGGGGGACCGUCUGCGUGUGCAAGGUGUAGGGACCCCUCUCCCGGAUGACACGGAAUGCGCAAGGCUAUCCGGAUCAACUCCAUCCGGAUUCCCCAAGAGGACAUGUGGCGUGCUCCCCUAUUCAGACUCCCUCAGGUUGAAGCACACAGCACUCGUGAUCAUCACACCCGGACGAUAGCAUAUCCUAUCCGGAUAUGUUGUCCGGAUCAUUGACUUCCGCCGUCAUCCGAUGGUGUGUCCGGACAUCUUUUACUCCUUGCAUUCCAGAUUUGCUUAUGGAAAAGAACCUCAAAGCUUUGGUUCUUCAUAUUUCUGAGCUUUCCAUUGCUUUGCCAUGGAUUCCAAAGAACUCUCCUCAAUCACGGAUUGCUUUGGUGAUAAAAAAGCUAUCAAAACACCAAAACUUAACACAAUUUGAUUAGAAUUGAUUGCAAGGGUCCUUAAUAUGUUAAUUGGGUUAAAAUGUGAUAACUACUACUCAAAAGUGUUUAAAAGAGUUUAUUACAAGCUAUCAAAUAGCACUUUUUGAGUAGUAAUCACUUCUUCACUACCAUGGGUUUCGAUCUUCUUCUCUCAUCCACCAUUUUCCCUCCAAUAUUACCAUUUUUUUUCCAUCACCCAUUACCCGAAGAGCUUAGUUUGGACAUAAUCUUAGGGUUAUCUCAAAGUUUCUUUGUGAUUUAACAAGUUUAUUCAUGAGUCAACUAAAUAUUGGACUUGGGUAUCGGUUCGAUAAUAGUCAUGGCCUAAGAUUUUGAACCCUUUUUUAGCUCUCUAUUUCUCUGCGCAAUACCCAUUUUUGAAGGCUCACAAAAUAACCCUACAAAGAUAUAAGAUGAUAGAGAUGCAAAUACAGGGAUGAAGAUGCAAAGCGUUUGAAGACUCUGAACUCUCCAUACUUCUUCACUUUCAUAGGUUUCGAUUUUCUUCUCUCAUCCGUCAUUUUAGCUCCAAUAUUACCAUUUUUUUGCAUGACCUAUCACUCGAAGAGCUUAUUUUGGACAUAAUCUUAGGGUUAUCUCAAUUUUUUAUUUUAUUUUUGUGAUUCAACUAGUUUAUUCAUGAGUUAACCAAAUAUUAAACUCGGGUAUUGGUCUAGUACCGGUCAUGGUUGAGGCGGAUAUUACUCGGCCGAGUCGUUUUGAUCUCAACUGAGAUUUUGAACCCCAUUUAAGUUCUUUAAUUCUUUUCACAAUACCCAUUUUUGAAGGCUCACAAAAUAACCCUACGAAGAUACAAUAUGAUGAAGAUGCAAAUAUAGGGACGGAGAUGCAAAUGGUUUAAAGACUUUGAGCCCUCCAUAUUUUUUCACUCUCAUGGGCUUCGAUUUUCUUCUCUCAUCCACCAUAUACGCUCCAAUAUUACCAUUUUUUCCAUUACGCAUCACCCGAAAAGCUUAGUUUGGACAUAAUCUUAGGGUUAUCUCCAAGUUUCUUUUUUAUUCAACAGGUUUAUUCAUGAGUCAACCAAAUAUUGGACUUGGGUAUUAGUUCGGUAUUGGUCAUGGCCGAGGUGGAUAUGACUUGGCCGAGUCGUACCGGUCUUAAUUGAGAUUUUGAACCCUAACUGAACUCUCCAUUUAUUUGCACAAUACCCAUUUUUUUAAGGCUAACAGAAUAAGCCUACGAAGAUACAAGAGGAUUGAGAUGCAAAUAUAGGAAUGAAGAUGAAAAGGGUUUGAAGACUCUUAACUCUUUAUACUUUUUCACUUUCAUGGGUUUCAAUCUUCUUCUCUCAUCCACCAUUUUUGCUCCAAUAUUACCAUUUUUUUCCAUUACCCAUCACCCAAAAAGCUUAGUUUGGACAUAAUCUUAGAGUUAUCUCAAAGUUUCUUUUUUAUUGAACAAGUUUAUUCAUGAGUUAACCAAAUAUUGGACUCGGGUAUCGAUCCAAUACCGAUCAUGGCUGAAGCGGAUAUGACUCGAUCAAGUCGUACGAGUCUCAAUCGAGAUUAUGAACCCUAUGUGAGCUCUUUAGUACUCUACACAAUACCCAUUUUUGAAGUCUCACAAAAUAGUCCUACAAAGAUGCAAGAGGAUAGAGAUGCAAAUAAAUGGAUGGAAAUCCAAAGGGUUUGAAGACUCUGAACUCUCCAUAUUUCUUCACUUUCAUGGGUUUCGAUAUUUUUCUCUUAUCCACCAUUUCCACUUCGAUAUUACUAUUUUUUUCCAUCACCCAUCACCCUAAGAGCUUAGUUUGGACAUAAUAUUAGGGUUAUCUCAAAUUUUCUUUGUGAUUCAACAAGUUUAUUCAUAACUCAACCAAAUAUUGAACUCGAGUAUCGGUCCGAUAUCGGUCAUGGUGGAGGUAGAUAUGAGAACAACCAAAUAUUCAAUUUUUUUUUAAAUUUAUAAUGUGCAUUUACUACAAAGCAAUCUUUAAAAUAAAAUAAAACUACCAUUGAUAAUUAGGUUACACUUGACAGCAAUUUUAGGAAGUGUUUUUAAUCUUUCUAAUACUUGAAAAAUAACAAUAGUGGUUUUAAGAAACGUUUCUAACUUUUUUAAUGGACAAUUGCAAAUUAGGAAAUAAAUAUGUAAAUGGGUACCAAUUUUUCUAAAAGCUUUUAAACUUUUUUCUAUUUUGGGUUAUAAUGUGUAUCAUGUUAUUAACAAUAUUUUUGCUUUUAUUUCAUGUCAAAUAAUAUAAUUUUUAACUUUAGAAGAGUCACAAACAAUAUUUGUGUUUACCCUAAAAUGCUUUUUCCUCGUAUGCAUUUCAGGGUGUAGGGAUUCUCAUGGAAAAUACUUCCCAUGGCUGGCAUGGGAGUUGAAGAAUUGUUGCAUGUGCAGCCAAAGGUAAAAGAGGGAUUCAUGUGUUACCUGAAUUGCAUUUUAUCUGAUUUACAAUUUGAUUAUAUGUAUGUUUGUGCAGUCUGGUGCUUGUGUUGCUCAUUUCUAUAUGUGCUAAAUGGAGGAUUUCUUUUUCAUCCAAAACCCUAGUAUUGCAGGAGAUAGUUGCUUUAUGGGUCAGUCUUCUUACCAAAUCUUAACUCUAUGCUGACUUCUUUUUCUUUGAUUUCCUACUCUUUGUUCUGCAUAUGUGUUUUCAACCUAACUAUUUUCAUAGGGAUCAAUGGAAAUUAUGAUUUUUCAAAGAAUAUUGAAAGUAGAAGAAAAUUAAGCAUUUGUGAAAUAUGGAGGAGCAAAAUGAUUUCUUAGUUUUAGCACAUCAGUUUACAGAAGAUAUUGUAAUUUCACAUGAUGAAAAUGAAGAGGGGAACCCAGAUUUCCAAUGGAGGGACUUUUUGGGCUUGGGGGACUAGAAAUGCAAGAUAUAAGUGCAAAUAUUGGAGUUACCCAACCAUAAAUCUGUCCGAAAAACUCGCUUUAAGGGGAGGAUGUUCCUCAUACACAAGAUGGAUUUAGCAUGGGGAUAAUUAGAUCCUAGAUGUUUGUAAGACUCAAUUCUAUCCAGUUUGCGUCCUUUUGGGGCUCCAUCAUGUGGGUUCUUUCCCCUUUUCGGUCAUCUUAAACUGGCUCUGAUGGUUGUUCGAUUGGUAACUCCGAAAGAUCAGAAUAGCUGUAUCUGCUAAGAUAAUGGAUGAAAUGAUAUGCUAACUUGGCAACUCGAAAAUAAUGGCCCGUGUCUUCCUCCUAUUAGGGUAUAUUGAAUUCUAAUUCAAGAAAAUUUUGCAGUAUUCAGGGUGGAAGCAGAUCACUUAAUCUUUUGUAGUAGGGAUUUAAGAGGUUUAGGCAGAUGCUUGAAGGUUUAUUCAUACUUAUUGUGAAGCAGAUCAUCUGGAAAACUGGGGAGUUAUCAUGCUGAAGACAUUUUUCUCCUUAUUGAAGUUUUCCAAACAAACCCUUCCAUCUAGGGUGAAUUAUUGGUUUCAUUUGGCUGAGUAGGAGAUUUCAGAUAGAAGCCAUCAAUCCUGGUCCUCAAGGGUGGAGUGGUAUGAUUACCAUCUAUGUAAAGACUUUGAAAUUUUUUUGUCAUUAACAAGCAUUUGUUGAUAAAUUUGCUUACCAUCUUCCACAAAUGAAAUUAUGGUUUUGAGUGUAUAAUUAUAACUGCUUAUGAUGAAAGGGAAAAACACCGACAAAGGACUCACUGGUUUUUUCUGCACAAAUGGGAGCAAUCUGUUAUUCUGGUUUCUUAUUACACACAAGCAAAACGAUCAUUUAUAGUUGUAAAUAGAGAGCUCUUCUUCUUACCUAGACUGAAAGUGACGGAGGUUUACUAUUUUAAGUUCAGUGACAUGUCCACAUUUUCUUCCUUUGCCUUACGAAGUGUUUCAAAUCCCAUUUCUUUCCAGACAUUCUUUAGCCUUUGAGCAACCGAAGAGAUAAGGGGACGCUUUUGGGGGUUCUCUUCUGUGCACAUCAUCCCUGCAUCGAGCAUGUGGAUACAGCAUUGCUCAAGCUUAUGUAAAGCACCACUCCCCUCUUCCAAAUAUGCUUCGUGCUUCAGUGAGAUGUCUACAAUAUCCAAAACUUGAUUUGGAAAAGCAGAACACACCCAUUUCCUUAGAUCAAGUCCAUCUGAAAACAUUUCAUUCGUUGGUCUCUUCCGUGUUAUCAUCUCUAACAUCAUCACUCCAAAACUGUAUACAUCUCCUCUUGUUGAGACAUCGAUCCCCUGCCCAUAUUCUGUGUACAAGCAAUAGGAACUAUUAGCUGAAUCACUGUACUUUUAUUUAUAUCCCUUCAAAUUAGGAUAGUCUGUUUAAAGAAAGAGACAUGGAUAGAUGCAGUUGGUUCAUAUUAACUAUCUGAAUAUCACAAGAAUGCAAGCAUCCUUCUUUUUCAUUUAGAUGUAAAUGCUUCUCAUUGGAAAAGCGAUUAGGAAACUAUCUGAAUAUCACUGUACUUAAAGAAAAGCGGGAGAAUAACCAACAAGACAUACCAUGUUGUUAAACAAAUUUAUCAUAAUGGUAUAUGAGGAAACACACAAAACCCUAUUUUUUCUUCUCGACUUCUAUCCUAUUAUUAACAGUUAGUUCUCUAGAAUAUAUGACCAUUGGGUAGGCAGUCAAAUGAAUGAAAACUAGACUAGUUUGAAGUUCAUGUGAGAUGAAAGAUUGGCAUUCAUGAUUAAAAGUAAUUAUCUAGUCUGAUAACUUAUCAUUUACUUCUCAGAUUUGAAGGUAGGUCGCUAACUUUUCCAAGAAGAUUCAAAGGGAUUAUGAAGCAUAGGAUUGAAGAUUUAUAUAAGGUAAUCAAAUGCAUACCUGGGGGGAUAUACCCGACAGAUCCUCGUAGAAAAGCAGUUGUGGUAGUAACAUGUCCUCUUGGUUUGUCACCUGAAAUGAGCUUUCCAAUACCAGAAUCUCCUACAUGAGCCACCAUAUCAUUGUCCAAAAGAACAUUUUGUGGUUUCAGGUCACAGUGUACAACUUGAACAGGACAACCCUCAUGAAGAUACUCCAAGCCAUUUGCAACAUCUAUUGCUAUUCCCAUUCUUUCCCUCAAUUUUAAUUCACUACCUCCUUCAUCUGACCCACCAGGGUAAAGAUGCUGUUCCAAGUUCCCAUUGCCUAUAUACUCGAGAACAAUAGCCUUGAAUCCUGAAUUCCAGGUCGAUCCUAUCAUUCUAACCAGAUUCCUAUGUCUAAUUUCAGACAGUAUUUGACACUCCCUUUUAAAACUUCUGUAACCCUGAACACGCUCUUCUUGCAGAACCUUAACUGCCACAACAGUUUUUCCAUCAUUGAUGAUAGCUUUAUACACCCUACCAAAACUUCCUUCCCCUAAUAGAUUAGCCUCAUCAAAACCGCCAGUAGCAAUUUCGAUUUCCCUUUCAGUUAAAGUUUGGGUUCCAUGAUGGGUUGGGGAAUACAUUAGAAUUGCAGUCUCCGCACCUGCACUCCUAUUUUUGAAGAAGAAACGACGAACAGUGAGGGCGAUCAGCACAAAGAGAAGCAGAGAACAAGUUAAUAUUGCAAACAGGUAAUAAAUCCAUUUCCUUUUCUUGUGCUUUUGUUUCAGAAUUUCACAUGGAUGGAGACCCAUAAGUUUGGUGCCACCACAGAGCCCCAUAUUCCCCAUGAAUGAGCUGCUUCCUAGAUUUUUAUACCUCCCACUAUUUGGAACCUCUCCUGUUAAUCUGUUAUACGAUAAAUUGAGAUUCUUGAUCUUCUGGCUGUCACCAAUCCAGAUUGGAACAUUUCCUGUUAAAUUAUUGAAAGCCAAGUCCAGAUAUCCUAGAUCAAUGAUUUGCUUCAGGGACUCUGGGAUUGUACCUUCAAGCAUGUUGUGAGAGAGGUUCAGAUACUCCAUUGAAAUGCAUCUUCCAAUCGAACUUGGUAUCACUCCGAAGAAUUUAUUCGCUGACAAGUCAAUUGCCAGCACAGAUGCCAGAUUUCCAAUACUAGCAGGUAGUUCUCCUUCAAGAUUGUUGUUCGAAAGGUUGAGUGAAAGAGCCAGGUUUGAGAAAUGACCAAUUUCUGUGGGAAGAGACCCUUGUAAGUUGUUAAAAGACAAAUCAAGAAGCAUUAGAAGAGAACAUUGGGUGAGUUCGAUGGGAAUUUUCCCUGUGAGGUGGUUGUGAGACAAGUAAAGAUAUCUCAACUGUGACAGAUUACCAAGAGAAGAUGGGAUUGUCCCACUAAUCAAAUUAUCACUAAGUUCCAGUAAACCAAGGUUAGCCAUCUGCCCAAGUUCAUCUGGAAUUGGCCCAAGAAGUUUGUUUCUUCCCAAGUGUAAUCUCUGCAACUGCCUAAGCUUCCCAAUUGUUGCAGGAACUCCAUUCAAAAAAUUAUACCACAGGUCUAGAGUCACAAGGCCGCUUAGAUUUCCAAUUUCAGCUGGUAGGUCUCCUGUUAAUUUGUUGUUUCGAAGAUUCAAGUAGUAGAGAUCUUUGGAAAGACUGCCAAUUGAAGCCGGUAAACUUCCUGCAAACAGACAUGCCCCUAAGUGCAGUUUCUGUAGACGUGAACAAUUAGUGAGAGGAGUUAGAAAACUGAGGGAAGAGUUGUUGGAACCGCUCACCAGGUUAUUGCUAUGAAGGUAAAGUCUCUCAAGUUUCUUCAACUUCCCCAACUCAGGAGGGACUUCCCCCUCUAACUGGUUGAGGCUAAGAUCAAGCAGUGUCAGCUGAGAAAGAUUGGACAGGGUCACUGGAAUUUUCCCAGAAAGUUGGUUUUCUUGGAAGUACAAUCUCUGCAAGUUAUGGAGCUUUGACCCCAAUUCGAAAGGGAUUGUUCCCGUUAACCGAUUCUCAAUCAGUGUAAUGUGACGCAGGGCAGUGCAAUUACUGAUGGAUGCAGGUAUGCUUCCUUCCAAAAAGUUGAUGUGGAGGUACAAUAUCUCCAGCUUUGUUAAUGCUCCUAGCUCCUCUGGAAUCCUUCCUGUGAAGUAAUUAACUUGCAAUUCUAAAUCUGUCAGCUUUGUCAGAUUCGAAAGAAACGAUGGUAUAGCUCCAGUGAGGCUGUUCUCAGAGAGACAAAGGUAUGUCAAGUUUGUCAUUUGGCCUAGUACAGCAGGAAUGCUUCCAGUCAGAUUGUUAUAGUCCAAGUCUAUUGUCUCCAGGCUCCAGCAGCCUUGUAUUGAGGCUGGAAUAUUGCCCCCAAGCUUAUUACCACUCAUGUUUAUGAAUGUUAACUCAGAAAGCUCUCCAAUGGUAGCUGGGAUCUCUCCAUACAAGCUGUUGGCUUGCAAAGAGAGGGUGGUGAGAUGGGAUAGAUUGGAUAUGUAUGGUGAGAUAACUCCCUGUAAGCGCAUGUUUAUGAGCUCAAUGGCUAUGACCCGGUUCUUAAGUUGCUGGUGGCAUGUAAUCCCUGUCCAGUUGCAGAAGAACCUGGUUUCAUUCCAAUCUUGGAGAUGACCAUCUGGAUCACCUGUUAUGCCUUGUUUGAAUUUGAGCAGAGAUUGACAAUCAGUGGAGUUUUUGCAGAGGAAUGUGGAAGUUGAUAGUAGAGCAAGACAACUAAGAGAGAAAAACACUGCCACAGCAACGGGAUUGUUCUGAUUGUAUGCCAUUCUCUCUCUCUCUCUCUCUCAGUGUGUGUGUACAGCUUUUGGAAUUCGAUGUUAGAUUUCAGGCCAAAAGUUUUUUUUCUCACUUGUUAGGUAAGAUGGGAUGAACAAUCAAUUUUCUUAAAAGUUUAAACUUAACGUGUAUCAUACUUUUCAACACUCGACGGGAUCAAUGGUAGAAGUUUAAAUAGAUGGGCUCAGUUGCUCAAAUGGUUCAGACAACUUGGCCUAGUGAGGGGCAGGUGGUGAGCCCUCAUUUAUCACUGGGACCAUAGAGCAAGACUUUUUGGUAUUGCCAUCACCUGUCUUAACUUCAUUCAACCUCUUCAAUGCUGUUUGACAUUUUCUUCCGUGACAGAAUUAAUAGCUAUGCAGUUUCCCAAAAUUUGCUCCGAACCCAUUGUCAUUUUUUUUUCUUCAUAUUUUAUAUUUUGUAUUUAUUUAUUUUUAUAUUAUUAUCAUUUAUUAUUUAUUUUAUUUUUCUUUCUUUUUCUUUUAUUUAUUUUAUUUUCUUCUUCCUUUCUUCCUCCAUGCAUGCACUACCAUUGUCACUUUUUUCUCUUUCUAAGGAUUUGCAAUUGACUCUAUUGAUAUUUUGUUGGUUGAGCAUGGAUUUAUGACUUAUAACACACACAUGGAAGGUUGAAUUUCAUGAAAGAAAAUGAGGGUUAGAAAAAUAAUAAAUGGGAAACAUUGAGCUUAUUGUGGGUUUGAUUUGGUACAAAUUCUUUUGUAUAUAUCUACUUGGGUAUACAAUUGAAUAUUUAAUUUAGGAAAAUUCAAAAAAUUGUUUUCAAUGAAAUUAAAAAAAAAAAUUAAUAACAAUUGCCUGGAAAUUUAUUUAUUUAAUAAACAUUGUUUUGUCAAUAAAAUUGUCAUCAAAGUUAAUUUUUAAUAAAAUUAUCUAAAAAAGUGAAUUUAUAAAUGAAAUUCUAUUUCCUUAAUUUAAAUGGGAUAAAAAGUAAUUUUUGUAAAUUAAAGUCUUAAAUAAUUUUUUCAUAAUAAUAGAACGAGAAUCUUUUUAGCAAAUUGAACUUAUACAAAUUAUUUUCUUUUCGUAAAUAAAGUUUGUAAAGAAAUUAUUUUCUUUAUAAAUAAAAUCAAAAUGAAAUAUUUUUACAACUAAAAGAAUAUUUAAUUGAGCAAGUGAUGAACUAUUUGCUUGUUUAAGUAACCUUUUGAAAUGUUCCCUCAGCAUAAUGGUAGUACAAUAAGAGGGUUUAUUAUGUACUUCUUUCUAUAUGGACUUUGGGUAUAAUAAAAACAAUGCUUUCUCUCUCUCUCUCUCUCUCUCUCUCUCUCUCUCUCUCUCUCCCCCUAGUCCACAGGUUUACACCCUCAGCUUUACCCUGGACUAAGUCCUGAAACCCAAAGAUUAUGCAGAAUCAAACUCUUAAAGUCUACAGCAUGAGUUGAAGAAAAAAGGAUGAGUAUUUAAUGUAGUAGUUGAGGAAUGAUUCAAUGUUUGAAAUAUAAAAAAUGCAAUCCAUUGAACACUUAGCUGGACUAUCUGCUUAUUGUAUACAUAAAACAUAGACUAAUCCGAAGACUUCUAUGUUAUAACUUUAGAAUUUUCAUAUCCAAGGUUUUCACUUCUUUCUCAUCAGAAGACAAAGAUUGUAACUGUUGCAGAAAACCUAACAACCUAGUUUAUUUGUUAAGGUCCCUUUCUCUCAUAAGACAUAAAUAUAUUCACUAUCAAACACCAUAAUGAUAAUAAUAAUGAUCUUCUUUUUGCUGUAUAUACACUACUUUAGAGUUUGUUCAAUGUUUGGUUACCAAGAAAACAGAAGGACUGAUCUGCUGCAUUAAAAGGUUAAGUAAUCCUGAAUACUUUCACUUCAUUUUGCCAUAUGUAGUUCUUCCAUUAGCUAGCCAUUUGGAACUAAAUCUUGUGGAGAACUUUUCAUAUUGGAGAUGGAUAUGAAAUUGGAUCUGCCUCCACCUCAUUGAACUUCACUUUCAACAUAUGCAUUGAGAAUAUUUAAGUUAAGAUCAGUAUACUAACUAACCCUACAUAAAUUAACAUGUAUUGGUGAAAACACUUAUCCUUGUAAGUGAGAAAGCAAAAAAAAAAAAAGAAAAAAAAAAAAGACCUACCCAUUGAAGACCAUCUAUAAAUUGACAUGUUUCUCAUGCAAAAAUUUUCACCCCUCACCUAAACACAAAGAUUUGUGAUUGUUUGGAGACAGUACUCUAACAAUGGAGAAAGGUGUUAGUUUCCUAGUAACUGUGGCCCUCAUGGCAUUGGCUUCAUCUUUUGCCUCUGCCUCUGAUCCAAGCCCACUGCAGGACACUUGCGUUGCCAUUGGGGAACCCAAGAAUGCUUGUAUUUCUUUAGUAACCAAUGAACUUGUCACUAUUUUCACUGAUCUUUCCAAUUCAAUAUUGGGCACAUUAAUGCAGUAGCCAUUGCUGGUCUAAGCAGCCAAAAUCCAGGUGUAAUCACCAUAUCCAAUGCAGUGUUUGGAUCAAAUCCACCAAUCAAUCCUGAUUUCCUGGCAACGGCCUUCCAGUUGGACAAGAAGGUGGUUGAAUUCCUUCAAGCACGAUUCUAGUGGGGAAAUAGAGAAAAUGAAGAAGCUAUGAACCUUUGAUUUGCUUGCUUGAAUGACUAUUUGUGAUGUUCAAUUACCUCAUUACAAUAAGAGGGGUUUAUUACUUUAUUUUGUAGCUCUUUUGGUGUGGACUUUGGUCCUAAUAUUAAAAUAAAGCAGUUUGUCUGUUAUGCAUCUUCUUCUGUCUCCAUCUCAAUAUUUGUCUUAAAAAAUCUUAUCUUGUGAAAAAACAACUCUCAGUUGAUUGAUUAACCUGCAUGUGCAGAAUGUUUAUUAAGAAUGAAUACUUAACUAGUUGUAAAACAGUACUACUGCUACUUCCAGCAUACUGCUGGCAGAAUUGGUGAUGAAGGAAUGAACAUUGAGGCAACAACUGCUGAGAAUUCAAAAAUAAAAAAGAUGCCAUUUUGCUUCUCUAUAUUUUCCCAUUAUAACUCAUCAACCGAGAUCGAAGAAACUAAUUAAGAUGUCCAAGUAAACCAUUUGAAUGGUGGGAGAAGCAUAAGUGUCAUGAAAAUUGUGAAGAAAGAAUGGAAAUGAAAACCCAGAAAUCUUAUGACAUCUACUGUAGACAAAUUAAUGUCUUAAAUAAUCUUUUCAUAAUAAUAGAACGAGAAUCUUUUUAGCAAAUUGAACUUAUACAAAUCAUUUUCUUUUCAUAAAUAAAGUUUAUAAAGAAAUUAUUUCCUUUAUAAAUAAAAUCAAAUUGAAAUAUUUUUGUAAAUAAAGUUCUAAAAAUUCAUUCUUUUUCUAGUAAAAGUAAGUCAAAAUAAUUUUUAUUGUCAAAUUGGAAUUUUUUGAAUAAAUUCUAUCCAAAUAAAAUUCAAUCAAAUCAUUUAUUGGAAAUAAAUAAAUAAAUUAAAAUCUUGAAAAAGUAAUAUUUAAAAUAUCUUUUUGUAAUCAAUUUAAUAAAUCGGGGUGUAUAAUUCUAAUGUCAUUUAUUUUGUACAUUUUUGUAAUUUAAUUUUAUAAUUAUUUUCUUGUAUAUUAAUUUGUGUCUUUAAUCUUGAUAUUCAUGAUUGAUCAAUUAACUGUCAUAAUUCAUUUUGUUUGUUUAGUAAAGAUUGUUAGUAUACAUGCUUAGAGGGGUAUUACCACUUAUUAUUGUACCUUUCUGAUAGACAACUUGACCCUUGAAUAUAGACUUGAUUUUACAGACAUGUCUUUUCUAAAUGAGGAUUUAUACAAAAUUUUCUUUCUUAUUUUAUUUUCUCUUUUAAAAAAUAAAUUAAAAUAAGUGGCAAUCCUAAUUUUUUUAUAUAAAAAAAAAAAAUCAAAAUUUCACAAUAAAAAUGAGUCUCACUGUCGAGUGGGAACACACGCAAAAAAUACGGGUCAACAUGUAUCCAAUUGAUUGGGGUCAAUGUCAAGAUGUAUGAUAAAGAUGCAAAAUUUGAAUAUGAAUCCUACCAUUGAUUGAAUCUUGAACUACCUGAUACUGGUUGUAACAAGUGAGAUAAGUUGCUAAGGUUUGCAUUGAAAUCCUCAAUUGAAAGUUACUAGUCAUCCAAAUAUGUAUAUAAAUCAAAGUGCACACAAUUGAUUUUCUUUCUCUUCUAAAUCCAAGAAAUCAACCUCCUUAAGCAAAAGACCUUAGAAUUCUUAGAGUGUGUUUGAUAGUGAUUUUAGGAAGUGUUUUUAACUUUUUUAAUAAUUGAAAAAUAAGAAUUUUGAAGUGUUAAAAAUGUUAGAAACGCUUCCUAAAAUCACUAUCAAACGCACUUUUAAUGUAAUUUGCUCUAUGUACCACUUGAUGUGGAUGUUAAGAUUGAUAUCCUUGGUCAUUGCCUAUAAUCCUAUAUCUAUAAUAGCAAGAAGACAUACAUUGAAACAUGAAUACCCUUUCACUAUGUUUGGUUUAUGGAAAAUACUAAGAAAAGAAAAUGUUCUGAAAAAUGUUUUUCUUAUAUUUAGUUUUAUUAUGAAAAAUAAGAAAAAAAUAAAAUAUAAUUAUAAUUAAUUAAAAUUUUAUGUAUUUUAAAAUUAUUUAAUAUUUAUAUAAUGAAGGAAAAUAAAUGAAACAAGCUUGAAAAAGUAUAUAAAAAUAAUUUAUUAAUUAUAACUUGUAUGCGACUAUUUUGUACUUUAAUCCCGUUUUUCUUUUAUUCUCUUGUAGGUACCUUGAUUUUAUAUAUUUGUAUCUUUAUUCGAUGAUUUAGAUUUCAUAUAUUUGUAUCUUUAAUUGAGAUUGCAAGAUCCGUACGGAUUCAGAUUAGGGAUGACAACGGUAUGGGCUUGAGGCAAGUUACUCAUAUCCCAAUCCAUUAUAUUUAUUCGUAUAUGUUAUCAUCCCCACCAAAAAAAGAAAUUAAAUGGGAAUAGGAAAUUCUCAUGCCUACCCCAUGCUAUCCCAUUAUUUAUUUAUUUAUUUUUCAAUUUUUAUUUCUAAAAUUUUAAGAAAAUUAAUAUUUUAAAUAUGUUAAAAAAAUUGAAAACUGAAAAAAGAAAUCAAUUAAAGAACUUUUUAUUUAACAUUAUACAUAAUUAGGCUGAGGUAGGAUGAAACAAACUCAUACCCAAAAUCACCCUGAAUCAAUCUUGGGUUUUUAAAAAUUUCUCAAAUUCAAGAUGAGACAAAAUCAUAUCCAAAACUAUCUCGAAUCCAUCCUAGAUUUUAAAAAUUUUCUCUAAUUUAUCUAAACUUUAUAUCAUUAUCUCAAAACGAGUACAUUAAGGGUAUGACAAGUACUAAAAAAAAAUUGGUAUAUUGUCAUCCCUAAUCAAGAUCCUAAAAUUUUUCUUUAUGAUAAUGAAAACAACAAUCAUAGUCGUCAUCUCUCUAUCAGUGUACUUUUUAGGUUUGAUCGAAUACACCUUAUGUGUUGCCUUUGGGGCAACCUAGCUCUCUCAAUCAUUGUCUAAAGUUCGGGUGUUUGUUUGUUUUAAUUUUUUUCGACUUUUUUUAAUACUAAAAGUAACUUAAUGACUUUUUUUUAACUUUUUAGUACUUAAUAAAAAUAAAAUAUUAAAAAACCAAAAACUGUGAUGUUUAAUACUUUUAAACACUAUAUAAUUUUAAGUUUUAUUCAAAAUUAAGUAAAAAAGAAAAAAAAAACACUCCUUUGAUGGUCAUCUAAAACUUUUAGGUCAAAGCUUGAUUUGGAGCUCAUUUAAACCUAACCCAAACUUCAACUAAAAAGACCUAUGUCCAACACAAUUAUUAGAGGUGUCCAAUGGGUCAUGUCGGGCCAACACAACCCAUGUUUAUCAGGCCAAUGCGUUGGCUCGACCCAUGCAAGCCAAAUAGGUGGCUUGACAUGGCCCAUAAACCCAUGGGCUAAUCAUGUCGUGUUGUGCCAUGUCGGUGAGUCGCCCCAUGGGCCACACACUUUAAUUAUUAUUUUUUAAUUUAUUUUGUCUUAAGUUUUUUAUUAUUAAAUAAAAUUUCUUUUUGUUACUUUAAACACCUCUAAUAAUUAUACUUUUUAUUUUUUAUAUUUAUAUUUAUCAAGUUUAUAACUGUAAAAUUUAUAAAAAUGUUAGUUUUUUGUUUUUAAAAAUAAUAAAAAGUGAUAUUUAAAGGGUUAAGUGGGCCAACAUGAUGGCACGACGGGUUGUUUCCUUAGGCCCACCACGACCCGCUCCUUUGGGCCAUGCCGGCCUGACUCGAUCUUUUGGCGCACUAGGCCACAGGCCAAAAUGGGUGGCUCGACCCAUUGGACACCUCUAGUAGUUACAUGUCUAGCAUCCAAACGGUAGACCAGGUGAGUUUUGUCAAACCCAACCCAUUCAUCCCCUUUGCUUCAUGUUGGCCACCCGGUUCAGACCAACCAUUGGGUUGAUUUGGGGUCUUGGUUAUUUUUGUUUAAAUAAAUUGCAAAGAAAAAAAAAACUUGGUUUGGAUAAAUAAACUUAAGUUGUUUUUAAAAUAAGCUUUUAUUUGAUUUUUUCUAAAAAAAUUUAUAAAUUCAAUUUGUACAAUAUUAAUUAUAUUUAAUUGAAGUCUUAUUAAAGAUUUAAAAAAAAAUAGUUUUUAAAUUAAAGAUAAAUUAAAAAAAAUCAUAAAAUAUGAAAUUAAUAUUAUAAUAAAAUCAUAAAUUAUGAUUUUUAUUUAAAAUGAUACUAUUUUAAGAUAUGAUUGAUUUAUUUAUUUUGAUAAGAAUGAAUAAUACUAAUUUUAAAAUAAUAAAAGGGUGAUAUAGUUUAUUUGAAAUAAAUUUAAAAAUAAAUAAAAUUUAUUUUUUUAAUACGUAAAUAAGCGAAGUUUUUCAUUAUAUCUACACCUGAGAAUUUAAUCAAGGAUAUAGUAUUUUGAACUAGUUUUGAUUCAUUCCUAUAAUCUUCAUUCAGUCAUUAUGGUUUAGACAAUUGAUAAUUAAUCUGUUGGCAUAAUUGAUUCUGCAAAACAGUAUCCUGAAUUUAGUAUCGAGGGAGGCAGAAACACAGCGAGAGAGAGAGAGAGAGAGAGAGAGAGAGAGAGAGAGAGAGAGAGAUGAUGCUUAACAAUUAACAGACUGCAGACUGCUUUAUUGUAGUAAUAUGCCCAAAGUCCACACCAGAAGAGUUACAACCAGACCCUCUUAUUAUACCAUGUUUGUUACAAUGAGGGAAUUGAACAUCAUGAAUCGUCAUUCAAGCAAGGAAAUCAAAGGUUGACAGCUUAUUCUUUUUCUAUAUUUCCCCACUAGAAUCGUGCUUGAAGGUAUUCAACCACCCUCUUGUCCAACUGGAAGGCCCUUGCCAGGAAAUCAGGAUUGAUGGGUGGAUUUGAUCCAAACAUUGAACUGGCUAUGGUGAUUACACCUGGAUUUUGGCUGUUAAAAGCGGCAAUGGCUACUGCAUUAGUGUGCCCAAUGUUGACUUGGAAGUGAAUGAGACUGAAAGGGAACACAAAAACAUCCCCCUUGUUCAGGACUUUGCUAAUGAAGCGGUGUUCAGGGUUGGAUGUGAUAAAGCCAACAAAGAGUGUUCCCUCCAAGACAAUGAAGACCUCACUGGCACGAGGGUGAAAGUGAGGAGGGUUUUGACCAUUAGGUUCAUAAUCGAUACGAGCCACUGACACCCCAAGAGUGUUUUCUCCUGGUAAUUGAUCAACAUUUAUAAGAUUGACAAUUGAGCCCACAUAAUUUGAUGUGUUUCCUGGAAUAUUCAGCCCUUGAUACAAGAAAUCCUCGGCCACGGUCAGGUUUGGGUUCUUGCAGAACUUCCCAUUUACAAAUACUGCAUGAAGAAGGAAAAAAGAAAAGAUAUAUCAUUAGUAUCAAACCAUACUCACCAUAUCAAUAAAAAGAGAAGUACUGAAAAUAGCUAUAAGAUCAUUGGUUACUAUAGAAAUACCAGCAUUAUUGGGCUCAUCAACGGCAACACAGGUGUCUUCCAGUGGGCUUGGAUCAUAGGCAGAGGCAAGAAAGGAAGCCAAUGCCAUGAAGGCCACGGUUACCAGGAAACUAACGCCUCUCUUCAUUGUUAGAGUACUGCCUCCAACAAUCACAAUCUUUAUCUUUAGGCGGGGAUAAGAAAUUUAGCAUGGAAAAGAUGUUAAUUUAUAGACCAGAGUCGAUGAGUUAGUCUUUGCAUAAACUCACCAAGUCUUCAAUGGGAAGUUUUUUCUUCUUUCUUUUUUCACUUUCGAGGACAAGCGGUUGCACCAAUACAUGUUGAUUUACGUAGGAUUAGUCAGUAAACAGAUCUUAACCAGAAUAUAAAGCAAUGUACAAUCAGGUGGAGGCAGGUCCAAUUUAAUAUCAAUCUGCAUGAUCCAAACGUUUACAUUGUUUCAACAUUUUUGUAUUAUGGUUUUUAUGAACUGUGUUUUUUUGAGUUGUAAGGAAGAAAAACUUAGGUUUAAAGUUCUAGCAUAGAAGAAAAAACCUGUAGAUUAAUUGAUUUUUUAAUCUGAACCAAACACAUGAUCAACUCCAUAAAAACAAGUGGAAAACAAGAAAAAAUGAAUGAUUUUUAAUAUGUAUUUGUGUGAGAAUGAUAGGUAUAGAUUUUUUUUUGAGAUAUACUGCCACAUAAUCUUCAUCCCUUCUAAAAAACGAGAGAGAAAAAAAAAAGAAUGAUUUUUCUGUUUGUAUCUAAGUGAGAAUGAGAUAUAGAAUUUCACUCCAGACGCAUUAAUUUUAUCUCAUACUGCCAUGCUAGACCAAAUCAGCCCUUAACGACAACCACACUGUUUUGUGGGGGGGGGGUUACUUUUGUUCCAUUAUAUUCACAGAAUCUUCAAAUCCAUUCUUUGGAUUAAUCUGCAUGAGGAAAUCUGUUACUGUUAGUGACGGAAACCUGUUAUUGUUAGUACCGGAGUCAACUGUUUGACUGGGUGGGUUCCAAUCAGAUCCUAAGGAAUGGGUCCAAAGGUCAUCCAUUAGAGUUAAUGGAAUUCAUUGUUGUUCUUGUGCCUUGAUGUGUGAGCCCAACACGCACAGAUGCAACUAGGGAUGGCAACGGGGCGGGUUUUUUCGGGUACCCGCCCUGCCCCGCCCCUAAUGGGAUGGGGUUGAAAUUUAAUAAAUGGGUUUUUAACGGGUAUAAGAUUUUUUUUUUUAAACCCGGGGCGGGUUCGGGUAUUGCCCCAUCCCGCCCCGCCCCGCCCCGCCCCGCCCCGCCCCGCCCCGUUUACAUAUAAAAUCAAUUUUAAAAUUUAAUUUAAUUUAAUUUAAAUUUUAAAAUUAAUUUUAUUUUACUAUUUUUAAUAUAUAGAUAAUAAAAAAAAAUUAAUAAAAUAAAUUAUAAAAAAUAUAAUAAUUUUAUUAUUUAUAAAUAUAUUUAUUUUAAUGUAAUUAAAAAUUUUAAAAGCAAUUUUUUUUUUUUUUAAAAAGGAGGCUAAACAGGGCUGGGCGGGGCGGGUUUGGGAAUUUCCCAUACCUGCCCCGCCCCGCCCCGCCCUGCCCCGUUUAAUUUUUUAAACGGGACGGGGAUGGGAAUUAUUUUUAAUAAACGGGGCGGGGUUGGGAUGGGGGCGACCCGUCCCGAACCUGCCCCGUUGCCAUUCCUAGAUGCAACAGUAUGAGUCAUGUGCAGGUAGAUUUGAAUAGACACAUCUUGGCAUCGGGAUGGCUUGAGCAAGGUGUAGUCUCCUACAAUAGGAAGCAUGGUGAACUGAUGCAUCACAUGAGCAAGACUCCUAUUGCAUGAGACAUACUCCUAUCACAUGAGACUUCUAGUCAAAGUGGGAGAUUGAGACCUAAUAUUGCAGGAAGAGAAAGGGACUCUUGACAUGAGAAGACUCCUAAUCGGGAUAGAAAACUAAAUCUUCAUGCAUAAGGAGAUAGAGAGAUGUGGCAUGAGAGUUUUAGAUUCAGUAGGACUUGGAGUCCUACUCAAAUUUGUCAUCUGUUAAGCUUGAGUCGGACGCAAACUAGGACUCAAAAGUUAGUCUCCUAGUAGGAUUAGGAUGGCUUGGUGCAACCUUCAUAAAAGGAGGGCGUGACCCAAUAGGAUGCUCCAAAAAUGGUACCUUACGUGAUAGGAAGGCCCCUUCAAAAGUCAUAUUGCUUGUACCACCAAGACACCACCACUAAGUAUUUGUCCAUAUCUUAAUCCAUGUGUGCAUGGAGAUGAACAUAAAUAUAUAUAGAAAAGAUAAAUAUUAGAAGACAAGUCUCCACAAAGAGACAAAAAUAUAGAAGGCUUCGGUCAACCAAUCCCGCUAUGCGUGGCAAAUGUUUCAGGGGACUGCGUAGGAUUGAACAGCCUUUGCUAGAGGGAAGAUCAAUCUAUGGGCGUGAAUAAAGAGAGAACUGGAGAAGUAUUGGAACAGGCGGGUCACCUCAGUUGACCAGGAAACAUGGCAUUAGUCAACGCAAACCUUGGCUUUCGAUCUCUACAUCGGUGCUGAAUAUUGUUGAACGGAAACACGUGGCCAGCUACAUUGGUUCUAGACAACAAAGGCUGCAACAAUUAACCUGAAAUUGAAAAUUUUGAAAUUUUUUUGAAAACAUAACAUCUUAAGAUGACUGGUAACCUUCUCUUAUUGGUUGGCUCUAAAUCAAAACCACUAUACAUGCAUUGUUCAAUGUAUAUAUGAUGUAGCAUUUUUGUGUUUUGUCUUUUACAAGUUGUAUAUAUUGGAAAAUUCUGACACCAUACAAAAACAUAGAAAAGCCACAAAUACCGCAACUUGCAUAUUUUCAUUUUAUGGCUGAAACUUUUCAAUGAAUCAUUAUCUUUAUUUCAAACUUUAAAAUUUUGAAAACAUAACAUCUUAAGAUGACUCGUAACCUUCUCUUAUUGGUUGGCUCUAAAUCAAAACCACUAUACAUGCAUUGUUCAAUGUAUAUAUGAUGUAGUAUUUUUGUGUUUUGUCUUUUACAAGUUUUAUAAAUUGGAAAAUUCUGACACCAUACAAAAACAUAGAAAAGCCACAAAUACCGCAACUUGCAUAUUUUUAUUUUAUUUUAAUUAUUUAUAGUUGAUUAGGUUUAUGGUAUGCCAUGUUGGAUGCUUUCAGAUUUUACAGAUCUAAGUUACUUUUAUUUUGAGAACGAAUAUUCCAUAAUUCAACCUUUUCCUUUUCUUGUUGGUAAUCAUGAUACAUAAAAUCUAGGAAUGCUAAACACAUCUUUUUUAAAAGUACUAUAUUGUAUUACAAUAGGAAAUGGCUUUUAUCAAAAGAGAAAUAUCCUUAAAUUGAUUAGGCCUAGCUCAUACUUUCAUCAACCAUAUGAUGACAUGAAAAAAAUCAAAGAAGAAAUAUGGGAAAUGGUACGAAAAGAGAUGGGUAGUAAUAACAUGAGACAACAACUUGUUUUACAACUAGUUGUAGCAGAAAAACCAAUGUUUAAAAUGAUAGAAGAGCCCCAACCACCAGAACCACCACUGAAACACAAGGUAUGCAUUUACUUACUAAUAAUACAAGAUUAAUAUAAGUGACAUAAAGCCUAUGUAAAUGAUAUUAUUUGUUGUAUUGAAGGUAAUUAAAUGUAAAUUAGCAGUGGAAAGAAAAGAAAAUGUUGUUCCAACUGGUACACUAAUAGAAGAAAAAGGAUCGAAUAGGUUGGUUGUAAUAAAUGCUGCACACAAGCCAGAUGCUAGACUCCCAUUUCCAAAUCCAUAUGAGAUUAUCAAUGUUGGGGAUGCUAUUGGCUUUGAGCUUGACUGGCCAACAAGCCUUGUCAUACUUGAAACUGAACAUCCUUAGGUAUGUCAUUUUAUGCCUAUAGUAAAUUUGAUUGUAACUUGGUAUUUUAUUGUUUAGGAGUAUAUAUAUCUAACAUUCCUUCCUUUUUCAUAGGUGUUGGAUAAAGGAAAGAAGAAGAUAGUGAAGACACCAAUUUUUUGAAAAUCUAAGCCUCAAAAUCAUUCGGUCAUUAAAAAUUUUCAAAAAUUUGUGGAUGGUUGUCUUGGUAAUGACAAGACAUACCCAAUACAGCUCCCCAUUUCACUUUUUGGUGUCGAAUUUCAAACAUAUAUAUCUAGAGAGGAUUGUGAAUACAUUAUUUCAUCUUUAGAGGUGUCAUCAAACUGCAUCUCCUUCUAUUUAUGGUGUGCACCUUUUAUUUUCAUUUGUUUUUAUUUUUUUAAAUAUGAGUUGCCCAUGUUGAACGAAAUUGGAUAUGACUAAUGAUAAUUUUCUUUUGGUGUUUUGAUACAAUAAUAGGCACAUGCAUGAUCAACUACAUAUUGCCAAAAAGGAAUCACAAUUUAUAUUUGUUAAUCCUUUUACAAUAUCACGAGCAAGCCUUAGUACUCAUCAAACAGAGAAAAGAGCACAAUUGUUGUCAAAACGCUUAAUGGAGUGCCAAGAUGCUAAAUAUGUUUUCAUACCUUACAACCCUGAGUAAGUGACAAAUAUUAUACUUUAAUUUGAGGUUUUAUGAUUGAUUUAUAUUUCUAAUUAGACGCUACUUUUGUUUUUAAUGUUUUAGCUUUCAUUGGGUCUUGGUGGUGAUUGAGCCAAGGAAAAUGAUAGUCCACUAUCUUGACCCUAUGCAUCACAAACUAUUUGAGGACUUAAAGAAUAUCGUAAACAUGUAAGUUCUUCCUAUUAUUUUUCAUAGUAUUAUUUUUUUUUUUUUAUAAAAAAUACAUUCAUCUCAAACACAUUGAACUUAUUUACAUAGGGCACUUCGAAUAUCUACAAAGAAAACAUCUAAAAGGGAGCCAUCUUGGCAACUAGUGCAGGUGACAUCCAAAAAAUUUUCUUUACACAUUAGCUUAUGCAUUUGCACCAUUUAUAUAUAUGAGUACUAAUGUUAUUUUAUAAUUGAUCGAUUAGUGUCCAAGACAAGAAGGAGGGUUCGAAUGUGGCUACUUUGUUAUGAGAUUCAUAAAAGAGAUAAUUUUUUAUCCUACAAUUAUUGCUUCAAAGGUAUUACAAAUUUAAUGAAUUGUACAUAGUUUUAGGCUUCCAAAUGUUAUGCAUUUUAAUGUUAUUUUCUUAUUUGAUUUCAGUUUGGUGAUAAAAAAACAUAUUCUCAAGUAGAAUUCGAUGAAAUUAGAGAAAAAUGGGCUACUUUUGUGCUACAACUAAUCAUGAAUCAUGUUGAUGCAUCAUGAUCACCAUGCAUGGUGAGUCCUUUAGCUACUACAUGAAUUUUUCCAUAGGUUCUUUGAAUAAUGUUUCUAUUUGAAAAAAAAAAAGAAAAAAAAAUAGUUCUUAGAUUUUUUUCAUUUAUGAUAACAUCGAUCCAUGUUUAUUUUCUUCAAUAAAAAUCUAUAAAACUCAUUAAACUAUGAAAUGCAAGUAUACACUUUUGGGAUGGUGGAAUGGAGAAUAAAAAGAAAGAAGAAGGCAACAAGAUUUUGGGUUUUUAAAUGCAACUCUUAUGUCAUACGUUGUAGGACAUAAAUGUUAAUUUAAUUAGUACUGAGAAAUUUAGAUUUUUAGAUGGGACUUUUAUGUCAUUUUAUAGUUAGCCGGUUUUAUGCUUAUGAAUUGGAGGUAUACAUGAAUCUUGGGAUCUUUAACAUUUCUAAAUCAUGUUUUGGUAUGUAUUCACUCUUCUUUUUUUAGUUUUGAUGGGUUUGAUAUGUUGGAUGUACUAUCUUUUUGUGAACAUUUGAUAUACAAAUAUUAUUAGAUGAUCAAUGUAUUAUGAGUUAUUCUAGAAACAUUACAGAAAAAUGAGUUAAAUAUAAUAUUAUUGUUAUAUUUAUGGACAAAAAAUAAAUAGGUUAAUCUUACUUAUUAAUUCAUAAGCAUUACAAAAAUUUAUAACUAAAAGCAAUCAUAUCUUCCACAAUAAUUUACAAUGAUGUGACACCAUUACUCAAAGGUGAUGCAUUUAAUAUGACAUUAUAAUUCAAAGAUGAUGCAUUUAAUGCGAUACCCUCUCAUCACUAGAAAUAUAUGGUGUCACUUCCGAAUGGGUCACCAUUUAUCUACUUUGGUGUCACUUCCAAAUACGUUACCAAUUGGUACCCUCUAUGGUAUCAGUGGAGAAGGUGACGCUAUGUUGUAGUGACACCCUAUGUUUAUGGUAACUCGUUAUAAAUGUCACCAUAUAUCUUUUUCCCUAUAGUGUAUAGCUCCAGUGAGGCUGUUCUCAGAGAAACAAAGGUAUGUCAAGUUUGUCAUUUGGCCUAGUACAGCAGGAAUGCUUCCAGUCAGAUUGUUAUCGUCCAAGUCUAUUGUCUCCAGGCUCCAAUAGCCUUGUAUGGAGGCUGGAAUAUUGCCUCCAAGCUUAUUACAACUCAUGUUUAUGAAUGUUAACUCAGAAAGCUCUCCAAUGGUAGCUGGGAUCCCUCCAUACAAGCUGUUGCCUUGCAAAGAGAGGGUGGUGAGAUGGGAUAGAUUGGAUAUGUAUGGUGAGAUAACUCCCUGUAAGCGCAUGUUUAUGAGCUUGAUUGACUCUAUUGAUAUUUUGUUGGUUGAGCAUGGAUUUAUGACUUAUAACGCACACGUGGAGGGUUGAAUUUCAUGAAAGAAAAUGAGGGUCAGAAAAAUAAUAAAUGGCAAGACAUUGAGCUUAUUGUGGGUAUGAUUGGGUACAAAUUCUUUUGUAUAUAUCUACUUGGGGUAUACAAUUGAAUAUUUAAUUUAGGAAGAUUCAAAAAAUUGUUUUCAAUGAAAUUCAAUAAUAAUAAUAAUAAUAAUAACAAUUGCCUGGAAAUUUAUUUAUUUAAUAAACAUUGUUUUGUCAUCAAAGUUAAUUUUUAAUAAAAUUAUCUAAAAAAAUGAAUUUUUAAAUAAAAUUCUAUUUCCUUAAUUAAAAUGGGCUAAAAAGUAAUUUUUGCAAAUUAAUGUCUUAAAUAACCUUUUCAUAAUAAUAGAAUGAGAAUCUUUUUAGCAAAUUGAACUUAUACAAAUCAUUUUCUUUUUGUAAAUAAAGUUUGUAAAAAAAUUAUUUUCUUUAUAAAUAAAAUCAAAUUGAAAUAUUUUUACAACUAAAAGAAUAUUUAGUUGAGCAAGUGAUGAACUAUUUUCUUGUUUAAGUAACCUUUUGUAAUGUUCCCCCAGCAUAAUGGUAGUACAAUAAGAGGGUUUAUUAUGUACUUCUUUCUAUAUGGACUUUGGGUAUAAUAAAAACAAUGCUUUCUCUUUCUCUCUCUCUCUCUCUCCCCCUCAGUCCACAGGUUUAGACCCUUAGCUUUACCCUGCACUAAGUCUUGAAAGCCAAAGAUUAUGCAGAAUCAAACUCUUAAAGUCUACAGCAUGAGUUGAGGAAAAAAGGAUGAGUAUUUAACGUAGUAGUUGAGGAAUGAUUCAAUGUUUGAAAUAUAAAAAAUGCAAUCCAUUGAACACUUAGCUGGCCUAUCUGCUUAUUAUUGUAUACAUAAAACAUAGACUAAUCCGAAGACUUCUAUGUGAUAACUUUAGAAUUUUCAUAUCCAAGGUUUUCACUUCUUUCUCAUCAGAAGACAAAGAUUGUAACUGUUGCAGAAAACCUAACAACCUAGUUUAUUUGUUAAGGUCCCUUUCUCUCAUAAAACAUAAAUAUAUUCACUAUCAAACACCAUAAUGAUAAUAAUAAUUAAUGAUCUUCUUUUUGCUGUAUAUACACUACUUUAGAGUUUGUUCAAUGUUUGGUUACCAAGAAAACACAAGGACUGAUCUGCUGCAUUAAAAGGUUAAUAUGUAGUUCUUCCAUUAGCUAGCCAUUUGGAACUAAGUCUUGUGGAGAACUUUUCAUAUUGGAGAUGGAUAUGAAAUUGGACCUGCCUCCACCUCAUUGAACUUCACUUUCAACAUAUGCAUUGAGAAUAUUUAAGUUAAGAUCAGUAUACUAACUAACCCUACAUAAAUUAACAUGUAUUGGUGAAAACACUUAUCCUUGUAAGUGAGAAAGCAAAAAAAGAAAAAAAAAAAAAGAAAAAAGAGAGAGACCUACCCAUUGAAGACUGUCUAUAAAUUGACAUGUUUCUCAUGCAAAAAUUUUCACCCCUCGCCUAAACGCAAAGAUUUGUAAUUGUUUGGAGACAGUACUCUAACAAUGGAGAAAGGUGUUAGUUUCCUAGUAACUGUGGCCCUCAUGGCAUUGGCUUCAUCUUUUGCCUCUGCCUCUGAUCCAAGCCCACUGCAGGACACUUGCGUUGCCAGACCCAAGAAUGCUGGUAUUUCUUUAGUAACCAACGAACUUGUCUCUAUUUUCACUAAUCUUUCCAAUUCAAUAUUGGGCACAUUAAUGCAGUAGCCAUUGCUGGUCUGAGCAGCCAAAAUCCAGGUGUAAUCACCAUAGCCAAUGCAGUGUUUGGAUCAAAUCCACCCAUCAAUCCCGAUUUCCUGGCAACGGCCUUCCAGUUGGACAAGAAGGUGGUUGAAUUCCUUCAAGCACGAUUCUAGUGGGGAAAUAGAGAAAAUGAAGAAGCUAUGAACCUUUGGUUUUCUUGCUUGAAUGACUAUUUGUGAUGUUCAAUUACCUCAUUACAAUAAGAGGGGUUUAUUACUUUAUUUUGUAGCUCUUUUGGUGUGGAUUUUGAUCCUGAUAUUAAAAUAAAGCAGUUUGUCUGUUAGGCAUCUUCUUCUGUCUCCAUCUCAAUAUUUGUCUUAAAAAAUCUCAUCUUGUGAAAAAACAACUGGAUAACAACUCUCAGUUGAUUGAUUAACCUGCAUGUGCAGAAUGUUUAUUAAGAAGGAAUACUUAGCUAGUUGUAAAACAGUACUACUGUUACUUCCAGCAUAAGUGUCAUGAAAAUUGUGAAGAAAGAAUGGAAAUGAAAACCCAGAAAUCUUAUGACAUCUACUGUAGACAAAUUAAUGUCUUAAAUAAUCUUUUCAUAAUAAUAGAAUGAGAAUCUUUUUAGCAAAUUGAACUUAUACAAAUCAUUUUCUUUUCGUAAAUAAAGUUUGUAAAGAAAUUAUUUUCUUUAUAAAUAAAAUCAAAUUAAAAUAUUUUUGUAAAUAAACUAAAAAUUAAUGUCCUAAGUAAAAAUCAUUUUUAUUGUCAAAUUGGAAUUUUUUGAAUAAAUUCUAUCCAAAUAGAAUUGAAUCAAAUCAUUUAUUGGAAAUAAAUAAAUAAAUUAAAAUCUUGAAAAAGUAAUAUUUAAAAUAUCUUUUUGUAAUCAAUUUAAUAAAUCGGUUUGUAUAAUUCUAAUGUCAUUUAUUUUGUACAUUUUUGUAAUUUAAUUUUAUCAUUAUUUUCUUGUAUAUUAAUUUGUCUCUUUAAUCUUGAUAUUCAUGAUUGAUCAAUUAACUGUCAUAAUUCAUUUCGUUUGUUUAGUAAAUAUUGUUAGUAUACAUGCUUAGAGGAGUAUUACGACUUAUUACUGUACCUUCCUGAUAGGCAACCUGACCCUUGAAUAUAGACUUGAUUUUACAAACAUGUCUUUUCUAAAUGAGGAGUUACACAAAAUUUUCUUUCUUAUUUUGUUCUCUUUUAAAAAAUAAAUUAAAAUAAGUGGCAACCCUAAUUUUUUUAUAAAAAAAAAAAAAAAAUCAAAUUUUCACAAUAAAAAUGAGUCUCACUGUCGAGUGGGAACACACGCAAAAAAUACGGGUCAACAUGUAUCCAAUUGAUUGGGGUCAAUGUCAAGAUGUGUGAUAAAGAUGCAAAUUUGAAUAUGAAUCCUGCCAUUGAUUGAAUCUUGAACUACCCGAUAGUGGUUGUAACAAGUGAGAUAAGUUGCUAAGGUUUGCGUUGAAAAGUUCAGCCAUGGAAAGUUACUAGUCAUCCAAAUAUGUAUAUAAAUCAAAGUGCACAUUCUAAAUCAAAGAAAUCAGCCUCCUUAAGCAAAAGACCUUACAAUUCUUAGAGUAUGUUUGGUAGUAAUUUUAGGAAGUGUUUUUAACUUUUUUAAUAAUUGAAAAAUAAGAAUUUUGAAGUAUUAAAAAAUGUUAGAAACACUUCCUAAAAUCACUAUCAAACGCACUUUUAAUGUAAUUUGCUCUAUCUACCACUUGAUGUGGAUGUUAAGAUUGAUAUCCUUGGUCAUUGCCUAUAAUCCUAUAUCUAUAAUUGCAAGAAGACAUACAUUGAAACAUGAAUACCCUUUCACUAUGUUUGGUUUAUGGAAAAUACUAAGAAAAGAAAAUGUUUUUCUUAUAUUUAGUUUUAUUAUGAAAAAUAAGAAAAAAUAAAAUAUAAUUAUAAUUAAUUAAAAUUUUAUGUAUUUUAAAAUUAUUUAAUAUUUAUAUAAUGAAGGAAAAUAAAUGAAACGAGCUUGAAAAAGUAUAUAAAAAUAAUUUAUUAAUUAUAACUUGUAUGCGACUAUUUUGUACUUUAAUCCCGUUUUUCUUUUAUCCUCUUGUAGGUACCUUGAUUUUAUAUAUUUGUAUCUUUAUUCAAUGAUUUAGAUUUCAUAUAUUUGUAUCUUUAAUUGAGAUUGCAAGAUCUGUACGGAUUCAGAUUAGGGAUGGCAACGCUAUAAGCUUAAGAUAAGUUACUCAUAUCCCAAUCCAUUAUAUUUAUUCGUAUAUGUUAUCAUCCCCACCAAAAAAAGAAAUUAAAUGGGAUGGGACGGGUAUAGGAAAUUCUCAUGCCUACCCCAUGCUAUCCCGUUUUUUAUUUAUUUAUUUUUCAAUUUUUAUUUCUAAAAUUUUAAGAAAAUUAAUAUUUUAAAUAUGUUAAAAAAAUUGAAAACUGAAAAAAGAAAUCAAUUAAAAGAACUUUUUAUUUAACAUUAUACAUAAUUAGGCUGAGGUAGGAUGAAACAAACUCAUACCCAAAAUCACCCCGAAUCAAUCUCGGGUUUUAAAAAAUUUCUCAAAUUCAAGAUGAGACAAAAUCAUAUCCAAAACUAUCUCGAAUCCAUCCUAGAUUUUAAAAAUUUUCUCAAAUUUAUCUAAACUCGUUUAUCAUUAUCUCAAAACGAGCCCAUUAAGGGUAGGACGAGUACUAAAUAAAAUUGGUAUAUUAUCAUCCCUAAUCAAGAUCCUAAAAUUUUUCUUUAUGAUAAUGAAAACAACAAUCAUAGUCGUCAUCUCUCUAUCAGUUUACUUGUUAGGUUUGAUCAAAUACACCUUAUGUGUUGCCUUUGGGCAACCUAGCUCUCUCAAUCAUUGUCUAAAGUUCGGGUGUUUGUUUAUUUUUUUAAUUCAUUUUGUCUUAAGUUUUUUAUUAUUAAAUAAAAUUUCUUUUUGUUACUUUAAACACCUCUAAUAAUUAUACUUUUUAUUUUUUAUAUUUAUAUUUAUCAAGUUUAUAACUGUAAAAUUUAUAAAAAUGUUAGUUUUUUGUUUUUAAAAAUAAUAAAAAGUGAUAUUUAAAGGGUCAAGUGGGCCAGCAUGAUGGCACGAUGGGUUGUUUCCUUAGGCCCACCACGACCCGCUCCUUUGGGCCAUGCCGGCCUGACUCGGUCUUUUGGCGCACUUGGCCACAGGCCAAAAUGGGUGGCUCGACCCAUUGGACACCUCUAGUAGUUACAUGUCUAGCAUCCAAACGUUAGACCAGAUGAGUUUUGUCAAACCCAACCCAUUCAUCCCCUUUGCCUCAUGUUGGCCACCCGGUUCGGACCAGCCUUGACAUGAACGGCAAGGUCCAAUGGAUUAGGUUGAUUUAGGGUCUCGAUUAUUUUUGUUUAAAUAAAUUGCAAAGAAAAAAAAAACUUGGUUUGGAUAAAUAAAUUUCAAUUGUUUUUAAAAUAGGUUUUUAUUUUAUUUUUUGUAAAAUUUUUUAUAAAUUCAAUUUAUACAAUAUUAAUUAUAUGUAAUUGAAGUCUUAUUAAAGAUUUUUUAAAAAAUAGUUUUUAAAUUAAAGAUAAAUUAAAAAAAAUCAUAAAAUAUGAAAUUAAUAUUAUAAUAAAAUCAUAAAUUAUGGUUUUUAUUUAAAAUGAUACUAUUUUAAGAUAUGAUUUAUUUAUUUUUAUAAGAAUGAAUAAUACUAAUUUUAAAAUAAUAAAAGGGUGAUAUAUUUUAUUUGAAAUAAAUUUAAAAAUAAAUAAAUUUUAUUUUUUUAAUACGUAAAUAAGUCAUGUUUUUCAUUAUAUCUACACCCGAGAAUUUAAACUUGACCCAAACUUCAACUAAAAAGACCUAUAUCCAACACAGUUAUUAGAGGUGUCCAAUGGGUCGUGUCGGGCCAACACAAUCCGAUGUUUAUCAGGCCAAUGCGUUGGCUCGACCCAUGCAAGCCAAAUAGGUGGCUUGACAUGGCCCAUAAGCCCAUGUGCUAAUCAUGUCGUGUUGUGCCAUGCCGGUGAGUCGUGCCCCAUGGGCACACACUUUAUUAAAAAUUUUAAUUAAUUUUUUUUAAUUCAUUUUGACUUAAGUUUUUUUAUUAUUAAAUAAAAUUUCUUUUUGUUACUUUAAACACCUCUAAUAAUUAUACUUUUUUAUUUUUUAUACACUUCUAAUAAUUAUACUUUUUUUUUAUAUUUAUAUUUAUCAAGUUUAUAACUGUAAAAUUUAUAAAAAUGUUAGUUUUUUGUUUUUAAAAAUAAUAAAAAGUGAUAUUUAAAGGGUUAAGUGGGCCAGCAUGAUGGCACGAUGGGUUGUUUCCUUAGGCCCACCACGACCCGCUCCUUUGGGCCAUGCCAGCUUGACUCGGUCUUUUGGCGCACUAGGCCACAGGCUAAAAUGGGUGGCUCGACCCAUUGGACACCUCUAGUAGUUACAUGUCUAGCAUCCAAACGUUAGACCGGGUGAGUUUUGUCAAACCCAACCCAUUCAUCCCCUUUGCUUCAUGUUGGCCACUCGGUUCAGACAUUGGGUUGAUUUGGGGUCUCGGUUCUUUUUGUUUAAAUAAAUUGCAAAGAAAAAAAAAACUUGGUUUGGAUAAAUAAACUUCAGUUGUGUUUAAAAUAAGUUUUUAUUUGAUUUUUUGUAAAAAAAAUUAUAAAUUCAAUUUAUACAAUAUUAAUUAUAUUUAAUUGAAGUCUUAUUAAAGAUUUUUUUAAAAAUAGUUUUUAAAUUAAAGAUAAAUUAAAAAAAUUCGUAAAAUAUGAAAUUAAUAUUAUAAUAAAAUCAUAAAUUAUGAUUUUUAUUUAAAAUGAUACUAUUUUAAGAUAUGAUUGAUUUAUUUAUUUAUUUAUUUUGAUAAGAAUGAAUAAUACUAAUUUUAAAAUAAUAACAGGGUGAUAUUUUAUUUGAAAUAAAUUUAAAAAUAAAUAAAAUUUAUUUUUUUUAAUACGUAAAUAAGUGAAGUUUUUCAUUAUAUCUACACCUGAGAAUUUAAUCAAGGAUAUAGUAUUUUGAACUAGUUUUGAGUCAUUCCUAUAAGCUUCAUUCAGUCAUUAUGGUUUAGACAAUUGAUAAUUAAUCUGUUGGCAUAAUUGAUUCUGCAAAACAGUAUCCUGAAUUUAGUAUCGAGGGAGGCAGAAACACAGCGAGAGAGAGAGAGAGAGAGAGAUGAUGCUUAACAAACAGACUGCAGACUGCUUUAUUGUAGUAAUAUGCCCAAAGUCCACACUAGAAGAGUUACAACCAGACCCUCUUAUUAUACCAUGUUUGUUACAAUGAGGGAAUUGAACAUCAUGAAUCGUCAUUCAAGCAAGGAAAUCAAAGGUUGACAGCUUAUUCUUUUUCUAUAUUUCCCCACUAGAAUCGUGCUUGAAGGUAUUCAACCACCCUCUUGUCCAACUGGAAGGCCCUUGCCAGGAAAUCAGGAUUGAUGGGUGGAUUUGAUCCAAACAUUGAACUGGCUAUGGUGAUUACACCUGGAUUUUGGCUGUUAAAAACGGCAAUGGCUACUGCAUUAGUGUGCCCAAUGUUGACUUGGAAGUGAAUGAGACUGAAAGGGAACACAAAAACAUCCCCCUUGUUCAGGACUUUGCUAAUGAAGCGGUGUUCAGGGUUGGAUGUGAUAAAGCCAACAAAGAGUUUUCCCUCCAAGACAAUGAAGAUCUCACUGGCACGAGGGUGAAAGUGAGGAGGGUUUUGACCAUUAGGUUCAUAAUCGAUACGAGACAGUGACACCCCAAGAGUGUUUUCUCCUGGUAAUUGAUCAACAUUUAUAAGAUUGACAAUUGAGCCCACAUAAUUUGAUGUGUUUCCUGGAAUAUUCAGCCCUUGAUACAAGAAAUCCUCGGCCACGGUCAGGUUUGGGUUCUUGCAGAACUUCCCAUUUACAAAUACUGCAUGAAGAAGGAAAAAAGAAAAGAUGUAUCCUUAGUAUCAAACCAUACUCACCAUAUCAAUAAAAAGAGUAGUACUGAAAAUAGCUAUAACAUCAUUGGUUACAAUAGAAAUACCAGCAUUCUUGGGCUCAUCAACUGCAACACAGGUGUCUUCCAGUGGGCUUGGAUCAUAGGCAGAGGCAAGAAACGAAGCCAAUGCCAUGAGGGCCACAGUUACCAUGAAACUAACGCCUUUCUUUAUUGUUAGAGUACUGUCUCCAACAAUCCCAAUCUUUAUCUUUCGGCGGGGAUAAUAAAUUUAGCCUGGAAAAGAUGUUAAUUUAUAGACCAGAGUCGGUGAGUUAGUCUUUGCAUAAACUCACCAAGUCUUCAAUGGGAAGUUUUUUCUUCUUUCUUUUUUCACUUUCGAGGACAAGCGGUUGCACCAAUACGUGUUGAUUUACGUAGGAUUAGUCAGUGUAUAGAUCUUAACCAGAAUAUAAAGCAAUGUACAAUCAGGUGGAGGCAGGUCCAAUUUAAUAUCAAUCUGCAUGAUCCAUACGUUUACAUUUAUAGUAGAGCUUUCUGCUCUUUUAGUAGUGUAUAGACAAGCAAAUAGAAGAUUACAGAGUAGGUGCCAGCUUGGAGUAUACAAUGACCCGCCCAUAUCAAACAUGGUUACUCCAUGAGGCUUGUGUAGGUUCAGUUUAAUGAGUAUCUAUAUAGCUUAAUUCACCAUUCAAAGUGUUGAGAGAUUGGCUGAUGAGAUUAAAUAUGUAGCCAAGUUCUGAGUUUCUAGCUCAUGUGCCUUCCACUGAGUGAAAAGUCCUUGGAUAAGCUCUGGCUUUCUGCUAUACGCUCAUUAGGCUUUCCUCAGUUACAAAAGCUUUGACUAUGAUUUUUACGCUUGUAGCCUUCGCUGUCUGAGCGGUUUCUAAGACUUUUUAAUUAGUUGCUUCUAAGUUGUCUUUAACAAGCAAGUCCGUAUUUUCUGGCGAGAAGCAAGAAAAUACCAAUUGAUUAGAUGAAGUCCUUCGACUAAUCUAUGCCCUAUACGUAAGGUAAUUAAGCAGUUACACUUUCCAAAUCUUCAAUGGAUGUCAUUUUUCGAAUUGAAAGGUUGAACUUCCUCAAGUUAUGCUCUAGACUCUAGAAUGAAUUCUACAUAAUCUUCGGUUUUAGGCCUUAUUCCUAGUUUAAAGCUAAGAAGUAAACCAGUGGACAGACCAUCUGUAAUCAGAUUGUGAUUAGUGUCAUGACCCAUUAGAUCUUUAUAAGAAGUUGGCCAUGGUUCAAAGUCACGGUAUCCGUCACCAAAUCGGUAAGUCCCGAGGUACAUCAGUUUCAACGUCACGGAUCGAUAUCGGAUGAUACGCAAAAAUUUAUAGUUUAAAAGCUCAAAACAAUUUAAAAAGAUUACAAAAAUAAAUACAAAUAAAUAAAGUUAAAAAUUAAGAAAUAAAAUUUUAUUAUGUAUAAAAUUAUUCAAAUUAUGAUAAAACAUACCUUUGUAAUGAUUUAUAAAAAUAUUAAAACUAUAAAAAAAAUAAUUUAAUCACUUAAUAUUAAAUAUGCAUCAUUAAAGAUGAAAAUAAUAAAAAGUGAAUUUAUAGUUUAUAAUUUUUUUAAAAUUAAAUAUUUUGAAUUUUUUAAAAAUAUUUUCAAUAUUUAAAAAAAUACAUCUAGGAAUCAUCUUUGAAAAAAAUAAACAUCAUUUUUCUUAUCAAAUGUAUUCUAAAUAAAACAAUUAUAAAAAUAAAGAAUUUUUAUUUGAAUGAGCAUAUUUGAAUAUAAUAUAUUUUUUCUAUACAUCUAUUCAUUUGAAUUGAAUUUUUAUAUUAAUAUUCAUUUCCUUUUUUAUUCAUGUAAACCUAAAUAUUCAUUAUUAAUGUACCAUAAUCCUAAUUCCCAUCAAAUUUGCAUUAUCCAUUUAAAUACAAUUAUUCACAACAUAUUCAUUAACUACUUAAAAAACAAAUACCCACCCAAAUUUGUAAUCCUAUCAAAUACCCAUAACCCAUUGGCAAACACGUAUUUCCUUUUUUUGGCACAAUACCCAUUUUCUCUCUAAAACAACACUUUGAGCUCUCUAUUUCUUUGCACAAUACCUAUAUUUGAAGGCUAAAAAAAUAGGCCUACAAAGAUACAAAAGGAUGGAGCUAGAAAUACAAGGAUGAAGAUGCACAAGGUUUGAAGACUCUAUACUCUCCACACUUCUUCACUUUCAUAUGUUUCCAUCAUCUUCUUUCAUCCACUAUUUUCGCUCCUAUAUUACCAUUUUUUCCCAUCACCCAUCACCCGAAGAGCUUAGUUUGAAUAUAAUCUUGGGGUUAUCUCAAAGUUUCUUUGUGAUUCAACAAGUUUUUUCAUGAGUCAACCAAAUAUUAGACUCAGGUAUCGGUUCAGUACUAGUCAUGGACAAGAUUUUAACCCUGUUUGAGCUCUCUAUUUCUUUGUACAAUACCAAUUUUUAAAGGCUCACAAAAUAACCCUAUGAAAAUACAAGAGGAUAGAGAUGCAAAUACAGGGAUGAAGAUGCAAAAGGUUUGAAGACUUUGAACUCUCCAUAUUCUUCGGUUUCAUGGGUUUCAAUCUUCUUCUCUCAUCAACUAUUUCUGCUCCAAUAUUACCAUUUUUUUCCAUCACCCAUGACCUGAAGAGCUUAGCUUGGACAUAAUCUUAGGGAUAUCUCAAAGUUUCUUUGUGAUUUAACAAGUUUAUUCAUGAUUCAACCAAAUAUUGGACUCGGAUAUCGGUCCGAUACCGAUCAUGGCUGAGGCAUAUAUGAAUCGGUUGAGUCGUACCGGUCUCGACCGAGAUUUUGAACCUUGUUUGAGCUUUCUAUUUCUUUGCACAAUACUAAUUUUUGAAGCCUUAUAAAAUAGCCCUACGAAGAUAUAAGAGGAUGAAGAUGCAAAUACAAGGAUGAAUAUGCAAAGGGUUUGAAGACUUUGAACUCUCCAUACUUCUUCACUACCAUAGGUUUCAAUCUUCUUCUCUCAUCCACCAUUUCCAUUCCAAUAUUACCAUUUUUUUUUCCAUCACCCAUCACUCAAAGAGCUUAGUUUGGACAUAAUCUUGGGGUUAUCUCAAAGUUUCUUUAUGAUUCAACAAGUUUAGUCAUGAGUCAACUAAAUAUUGGACUUGGGUAUCAGUCUGAUACUAGUCAUGACCAAGAUUUUGAACCCUUUUUGAGCUCUCUAUUUCUCUACAUAAUACCCAUUUUUGAAUGCUCACAAAAUAACCCUACAAAGAUACAAGAUGAUAGAGAUGCAAAUACAAGGAUGAAGAUGCAAAGGGUUUGAAGACUCUAAACUCUCCAUACUUCUUCACUUUCAUAGGUUUCGAUCUUCUUCUCUCAUCCGCCAUUUCAACUCCAAUAUUACCAUUUUUUUCCAUGACCUAUCACUCGAAGAGCUUAUUUUGGACAUAAUCUUGGGGUUAUCUCAAAGUUUCUUUUUUAUUCAACAAGUUUAUUCAUGAGUCAACCAAAUAUUGGACUUGAGUAUUAGUUCGGUACUGGUCAUGGCCGAGGUGGAUAUGACUUGGCCAAGUCAUACUGGUCUCAAUCGAGAUUUUGAACCCUAUUUGAACUCUCUAUUUCUUUGCACAGUACCCAUUUUUUAAGGCUAACAAAUUAGCCCUACGAAGAUAUAAGAGGAUUGAGAUGCAAAUAAAGAAAUGAAGAUGCAAAGGGUUUGAAGACUCUAAACUCUUCAUACUUUUUCACUUUCAUGGGUUUCAAUCGUCUUAUCUCAUCCACCAUUUUCGCUCCAAUAUUACAAUUUUUUUCCAUCACCCAUCACCCAAAAAGCUUAGUUUGAACAUAAUCUUGGAGUUAUCUCAAAGUUUAUUUUUUAUUCAACAAGUUUAUUCAUGAGUAAACCAAAUAUUGGACUCAAGUAUCAAUUCAAUAUCAAUCAUGGUUGAGGCGGAUAUGACUCGAACAAGUUGUACUUGUCUCAACCGAGAUUAUGAACCCUAUUUGAGCUCUCUAUUUAUCUCUACAAUACCCAUUUUUGAAGGCUUACAAAAUAGUCCUACGAAGAUACAAGAUGAUGGAGAUGCAAAUACAAGGAUGAAAAUCCAAAGAGUUUGAAGACUCUGAACUCUCCAUAUUUUUUCACUUUCAUGAGUUUUGAUUUUCUUCUCUUAUCUGCCAUUUCCGCUCCAAUAUUACCAUUUUUUCCAUUACCCAUCACUUGAAGAGCUUAGUUUGGACAUAAUAUUAAGGUUAUCUCAAAUUUUCUUUGUGAUUCAACAAGUUUAUUCAUAAGUCAGCCAAAUAUUGGACUUGGGUAUCUGUUCGAUACUAGUCAUAUAUGGUAGAGGCGGAUAUGACUCAACCAAGUUGUACUAGUCUCAACUAAGAUUUUGAACCCUAUUUGAGCUCUCUAUUUCUCUGUACAAUACCCAUUUUAAAGGCUCACAAAAUAGCCCUACCAAGAUACAAGAUAAUGAAGAUGCAAAUAUUACUCAUUGAAUAUCUAGCAAUAAUUGGUUUAUUUUUUAUUUUUGAAUUAUUUUUUAAAAUUAAAUAUCUAUUAAUGAAACAAAAAUACUAAUGAUUAAUACCAAAAAGUGCUAUUUUGUAGAUCUAAUUAUAAUGGUUUUAAGCACCUUUGAGUAGUAAUCAUAUUCAUUUAACCCAAUUAAUUCAUUAAGGUCCUUAGUAAUUGGUUUUAACCAUUUUGUGGCAAGUUUACAUGUUUUUAUCAGCUUAUGAAUCAAUUCAAGCAUGCCAAAUGAUGGAGGAGCUACUUAGACAAGUUAAAGCAAGGAUUUUGGAAGUUUACAGGCUUGAAUUUCAAGUGGAAACACGAGCACAAGCAAUGGAGAAGAGGAAAACAGAGUGAAGAAAACAGAGGACAGCAGCUGCAGUCUUCUUUUGCACUUUUGGAGCACUUCCCGAAGUCCAUUUUCUACAUUCUAUAUACCAUUUCAAAGCUCAGGAAGUCAAUAAUCCAAUGCUUCAAACGGUGCGUGAUUCGGAGUUGAAACGAAGGAGUUACAGCCAUUGCAAUCAGAUCACUCCAAGCUGCUGCGAAAUCAGCCUUUUGUUGCGAGAAUUUCGCAGCCUUUUUGUACAGUGCAAUGGAAUUCCUCCUGAAGCUACCCGAUAUAUGCUGCAAGCUGGAAUGCUGAGAACCUCAAGGUGGAAGCCAACUUCGCAGCCCUGCGAAGAUAGCUUGGUGUUGCGAAAUUAUUUCGCAACCCUCUUGAGUGUCUGCGAAAUCUCGCAGACCUCGUUUUCACCUGCGAAAUGUCCUUAGUGCUUCCUGAUAUUUGUGCACCGACUCUUUUGGAUAUUUUUCUUCAGAUAUUUUUGUAUAAAUUUCCAUUUUCUCCUUGUUUUCAGCCACUCAUGUAAUUCCUUAGCUAGGAAGUNNNNNNNNNNNNNNNNNNNNNNNNNNNNNNNNNNNNNNNNNNNNNNNNNNNNNNNNNNNNNNNNNNNNNNNNNNNNNNNNNNNNNNNNNNNNNNNNNNNNGAGAGAGAUUUAGUGUUUGAACCCAUUAAUGGGAAGCAUCUGUACAACACCGGUUGGAGAAGGAACUAUAGGUUAAUUCUCUAAGGCGAGGAAAAAAAACAAGUGACCGGAACUCCCUUUUUGUAUGAGGAACCUGAGCCUAGUGAUCUGAACUCCAAGAAACACUUUUCUUUGUAAGUAAAAUCAGUUACUAUUUUUGGUUAGCUUAAAACCAAACCUUUUUCAUUCAAACAUCUUUAUGUUUUCUUAAGCUAACCUUGAAAUGAAAAGGCACCAAUUCAGCUUUGAAUUAAUAUCAUUUGUGAAGUGAAAACCCAUCCCAGUGGACGAUCCUAGAGCCACUAUGCUAUAGUAGCUUUGUCUUUGCUACCCUAGUAUAUGGUGUAAUAGGUUAUAAAUUUUGUUGAUUACUCCCUCAAUCAAGGAGCACCAGCUGGACACGAAUCAGCUGAGACACCAAUUGGGCACGAAUCAACUAACUCUUUCUUGAUUUUCUUCUCUCAUCCACCAUAUCCGCUCCAAUAUUGCCAUUUUUUCCAUCACCCAUCACCCUAAGAGCUUAGUUUGGAUAUAAUCUUAGGGUUAUCUCAAAGUUUCUUUUUUAUUCAACAAGUUUAUUCAUGAGUUAACCAAAUAUUGGACUCGGGUAUUAGUUCGGUACCGGUCAUGGCCAAGGUGAAUAUGACUUGGCCGAGUCAUACCAGUCUCAAUUGAGAUUUUGAACCUUGUUUGAACUCUCUAUUUCUUUGCACAAUACCCAUUUUUUAAGGCUAACAAAAUACCCUAACAAAGAUACAAGAGGAUUGAGAUGCAAAUAUAGGAAUGAAGAUGAAAAGGGUUUGAAGAGUCUAAACUCUUCAUACUUUUCCACUUUCAUGGGUUUCAAUCUUCUUCUCUCAUCCACCAUUUUUGCUCUGGUAUUACUAUUUUUUUUCCAUCACCCAUCAUCCAAAAAGCUUAGUUUGGACAUAAUCUUGGAGUUAUCUCAAAGUUUCUUUUUUUAUUCAACAAAUUUAUUCAUGAGUCAACCAAAUAUUGGACUAGAGUAUCGAUCCGAUACUGAUAAUGGCUGAGGCGGAUAUGACACGAUCAAGUCGUACGAGUCUUAACCGAGAUUAUGAACCCUGUUUGAGUUCUCUAUUUCUAUACACAAUACCCAUAUUUGAAGGCUCACAAAAUAGUCCUACGAAGAUACAAGAUGAUGGAGAUGCAAACACAUGGAUGAAAAUCCAAAGCGUUUGAAGGCUCUGAACUCUCCAUAUUUCUUCGCUUUCAUGGGUUUCGAUCUUUUUCUCUCAUCCACCAUUUUCGCUCCAAUAUUACCAUUUUUUCCAUUACCCAUCACGCAAAGAGCUUAGUUUGGACAUAAUAUUAUGGUUAUCUCAAAUUUUCUUCAUGAUNNNNNNNNNNNNNNNNNNNNNNNNNNNNNNNNNNNNNNNNNNNNNNNNNNNNNNNNNNNNNNNNNNNNNNNNNNNNNNNNNNNNNNNNNNNNNNNNNNNNAAGAGCUUAGUUUGGACAUAAUAUUAUGGUUAUCUCAAAUUUUCUUCAUGAUUCAACAAAUUUAUUCACAAGUCAACCAAAUAUUGGACUUGGGUAUCAGUCCGAUACUAGUCAUGGUGGAGGCAGAUAUGACUCGGUUGAGUCGUACCAAUCUCGACUAAGAUUGUGAACCCUGUUUGAACUCUCUAUUUCUUUGUACAAUAUCCAUUUUGAAGGCUCACAAAAUAGCCCUACCAAGAUACAAGACGAUGGGGAUGCAAAUAUUACUCCUUGAAUUACUGGCAAUAAUUAGUUUAUUUUUUUAAUUUUGAACUAUUUUUUAAAAUUAAAUAUUUGUUAAUGAAACAAAAGCACUAACUCUUUCUUGAUUUGGAGUUUAUUUGUUGAAUGAAAAUUUUUGGAUAAUUAUGGUUUUGCGCAUAAGAGAAAUAAUGAACCAAUUGUUGUUCAUAAAUUCAUAAAAUUGGAUUAGCAUUUGAGUUUCAAAUUAUUUUUAAAAGUGCUUACAUUCAUUAAUGAAUCUAAUACACUAAGUUCCUCUUUGGGAUGAAUUUUGAAUGAGGCUAAAAGCUUUUCCUAACACUAGAAAGCAAUCUUAAAAAAAUGGUUGAAAAUCACUUUUAAAAAUCUAAAUAAUGACAUGAUUCUUCGAACUAUCACAUUUUUGUUAUAUUAUACAUUGCCAAAACAUUCUCUGAACAUAUUUUAAAAAAAAUUUAUAAUAUGCAUUUCCUACAAAGCAAUCUUAAAAAUAUAUAUAUAUAUAUAUCAUCAAUAAUUAGAUUAUGGUGUGAUAGUGAUUUUAGCAAUUGUUUUUAGCCUUUUUAAUACUUUAAAAAUAACAGCAGUGAAUUUAGGAAACGUUUCUAGCUUUUUUAACGCUUGAAUGAUAUAAAUUUUCAAGUAUUAGAAAAGUUAAAAAUGUUUCCUAAAAUCACUACUAAACAGGCUUUAAUCAGUAGUAGUAAUUAAUUGGUAUUGAAUAACUGUAAUGCAGUUUCCUGAAUGUAGUAUUGAGGGAGAGAGAAACAGAGAGGAAGAGAGAGAUGCUUAACAAACAAAUUGCUUUAUUGUAGUAAUAUGCCCAAAGUUCACACCAGAAGAGUUACAACUAGACCCUCUUAUCAUACUAGGAUUGUUAUAACGAGGGAAUUGAACAUCAUAAAUAGUCAUUCAAGCAAGGAAAUGAAAGGUUGAUAGCUUCUUCUUUUUCUAUAUUCCCCCACUAGAAUCGUGCUUGAAGGUAUUCAACCACCUUCUUGUCCAACUGGAAGGCCCUUGCAAGGAAAUCAGGAUUGAUGGGUGGAUUUGAUCCAAACACUGCAUUGGCUAUGGUGAUUACACCUGGAUUUUGGCUGUUCAGACCAGCAAUGGCUACUGCAUUAGUGUGCCCAAUGUUGAAUUGGAAGUGAAUGAGACCGAUAGGGAACACAAAAACAUCCCCUUUGUUGAGGACUUUGCUAAUGAAUCGGUUUUGAGGGUUGGAUGUGACAAAGCCAACUAAGAGUGUUCCCUCCAAAACAGUGAGGAUCUCACUGGCACGGGGGUGAAUGUGAGGAGGGUUUUGACCAUAGGGUGCAUAAUUGAUACGAACCAGUGAUAUCCCAAGAGUGUUUUGUCCCGGUAGUACAUCAACAUUUAUAAUAGUGACAUUUGAGCCCACUAGAUUUGCUGUGUUUCCUGGAAUAUUCAGCCCUUGAUACAAGAAAUCGUCAGCCACGGUCAGGUUUGGGUUCUUGCAGAACUUUCCAUUUACAAAUACUGCAUUUAAAAAAACAAAAGGAAAAUAAAAGAUAGGUCAUUAGUAUCAAACCACCAUCAAUGGAAAGAUUAGUGAAAAUAGUGACAAGAUCAUUGGUUACUAAAGAAAUACCAGCAUUCUCGGGUUCAUCAAUGGCAACACAAGUGUCCUGCAGUGGCCUUGGAUCAAAGGCAGAGGCAAGAGAGGAAGCCAAUGCCAUGAGGGCAACAGUUACCAGGAAACUAACACCUUUCUUCAUUGUUAGAGAACUGUCUCCAACAAUCACAAUCUUUAUCUUUAGGUGGGGGUGAGAAAUUUUGCAUGGGAAAGAUGUUAAUUUAUAGACCAGUCAAUGAGUAAAGUCUUUGCAUAAACUCACAAAGUCUUCAAUGGGUAGUUUUUUCUUUUCUUUUUUUUCUUUCUUUUUUCUUUUUUUCACUUUCAACGUCAAGUGGUUACACCAAUACAUGUUGAUUUAUGUAGGAUUAGUUAGUUACUAUACUGAUCUUAACUAGAAAAUUCUCCAUGCGUGUGGAAAGUGAAGUUCAAUUAUUGAUGGAGGCAGGUCCAAUUUCAUAUCAACCUGCAUGAUCCAUACAUUUACAUAAAUAGUAGAUUGAAUAUUACUACCAUUCAAACACUGAAAAAUAUGUAUAGUGUAUUGACAAGAAAAUAGAAGAUUACAGAGUAAGUGCAGGCUUGGACUAGACAAUAACCCACCCAUUCCAAACAUGGUUACUCUAUGAGGCUUGUGUAGGUUCAGUUUAAUGAGUAUCUAUAUAGCUUAAUUAACCAGUCAAAGUUUUCAGAGAUUGGCUGAUGAGAUUGAAUAUGUAGCCAAGUUCUGAGUUUCUAGCUCAUGUGCCUUCCACUGAGUGAAAAAUCCUUGGAUAAGCUCUAGGGUUGCUUCACUUUAGUGAAAAAUAGGGAUAAAUUCAAAGAUUUUCUGCUAUGCUCAUUAGGCUUUCCUCAGUUACAAAAGCUUUGGCCAUGAUUUUUAUGCUUGCAGCCUGCCCUGUCUGAGCAGUUGGCUCAAAAGUUAUUAUUAUUAUUAUUAUUUUGGUUUGAGAGAGAAAGAGAUCUUAAUAAACACCUUUAAACUAAGACUUUUUAAUUAGUUGUUUAUAAGUUGUCUUUAACAAUCACGUCGGUGUUUCCUGGUGAGAAGCAAGAAACCUUGAUUUGAAAAAUACCAAUAAAUUAGAUGAAGUCCUCAGGUUAACCUAUGUUUUAUAGGUGAGGUAAGCAGUUACACUUUCCAAGUCUUCAAUGGAUGUCAUUUUUCAAAUUUAAAGGUUGAACCAUUCUUCGAUCACACUCCUUUCUCAUCCUUUUCUCCUCAACUUAUGCUCUAGACUCUUGAAUGGAUUCUACAUAAUCUUCGGGUUUUAGGCCUUAUUCCAGUGUAAAGCUAAGAAGUAAACCAGUGGGCAGGCCAUCUAUAAUCAGUUUGUGAUUAGUGUCAUGACCUAGAUCUUUAUAAGAAGUUGGGGUCAGAGGUUUGUUUACAGUGGAUGUCAUAAGAUUUAUGGGCUUUCAUUUCUAUUCUUUCCUCACUAUUUCAUAACACUUAUGCUUCUCCCACCAUUCAUAUGGUUUUACUUGGACAUCUUAAUGAGUUUUUUCGAUCUCAGUUGAUGGGAGUUAUAAUGGGAUAAUUUAGAGAAGCAAAUUAAUGGCAUCUUUCCAUUUCUGAAUUGUAUGGGGUUGUUGCCUCAAUGUUCAUGUCUUCAUCACCAAUUCUGUCAGCAGUAUGCUAGAAGUAACAGUAGUUCUGUUUUAUGCAUAUCCUGUAUUUAAUCAAUCAAUCAACUGAGAUUUGUUAUUCAGUUGCUUCUUUUACAAGUGAAAUCUCAAAGAUUUGUUUAAGAUUUUUUAAUGAAAACAUAGGGUAAUCCUGGAUAUGGCAUUGGAUAGUGAGAGAAGAAGAUGGCUAAUAGACAAACUGCUUUAUUUUAAUAUUAGGACCAAAGUCCACAUCAAACAACCUACAACAUAAAGAAAUAAACCCUCUUAUUCUAGGAUGACUAUAAUGAGGUAAUUGAACACCACAAAUAGUCAUUUAAGCAAGGAAAGCAAAGGCUGGUAGCUUCUUAAUUUUCUAUAUUUUCCAACUAGAAUAGUGCUUGAAGGUAUUCAACCACCUUCUUGUCCAACUGGAAGGCCCUGGCAAGGAAAUCAGGAUUGAUGGGUGGAUUUGAUCCAAACACUGCAUCGGCUAUGGUGAUUACACCUGGAUUUUGGCUGUUCAGACCAGCAAUGGCUACUGCAUUAGUGUGCCCAAUGUUGAAUUGGAAGUGAAUGAGACCUAUAGGGAACACAAAAACAUCUCCCUUGUUGAGGACUUUGCUAAAGAGGCGGUUUUGAGGGUUGGAUGUGACAAAGCCAACUAAGAGUGUUCCCUCCAAGACAGUGAGGAUCUCAGUGGCACGAGGGUGAGUGAUCAUGUGAGGAGGGUUUUGACCAUAGGGUGCAUAAUCUAUACGAACCAGUGAUAUCCCAAGAGUGUUAAGUCCUGGUAUUGCAUCAACAUUUACUGUAGUGACAUUUGAGCCCACUCGAUUUGCUGUGUUUCCUGGAAUAUUCAGCCCUUGAAAGAAGAAAUCCUCGGCCACAGUCAGGUUUGCGUUCUUGCAGAACUUUCCAUUUACAAAUACUGCAUUUAAAAAGAAGGGGAAAAGAAAAGAUAGGUCGUUAGUAUCAAACCAUUAUCAAUGGAAAGAGUAGUGAAAAUGGCAAUAAGAUCAUUGGUCACUAUACAUAUAUAGAAAUAUCAGCAUUCUUGGGUUCAGGAAUGGCAACACAAGUGUCCUGAAGUGGGCUUGGAUCAAAGGCAGCGACAAGAGAGGAAGCCAAUGCCAUGAGGGCAACAGCAACCAGGAAGCUGACACCUUUCUUCAUUGUCAGAGUACUGUCUCCAACAAUCAGAGUCUUUAUCUUUAGGUGGGGGUGAUAAAUUUUGCAUGGGAAAGAUGUUAAUUUAUAGACCAGAAUCGGUGAGUUAGUCUUUGCAUAAACUCACAAAGUCUUUAAUGGGUAGUUUUUUUUUUUCAUUUUCAAGGACAAUUAGUUACACCAAUACAUUUUAAUUUAUGUAGGAUUAGUUAGUAUACUGAUCUUAACUAGAAUAUUCUCCAUGAGUGUGUGGAUAGUGGAGUUCAAUUAUAGGUGGAGGCAGGUCAAAUUUCAUAUCAAUCUACAUGAUCCAUGCAAUAACAUAAAUAGUAGAGCUUUCUGCUCUUUUAGUUUUAGUACCCAAACACUGAAAAAUCUCUAAAGUAGUGUAUAGACAAGCAAAUAGAAGAUUACAGAGUAGGCCAUCGGACUAGACAAUAAUCCACCCAUUUCAAACAUGGUUACUCCAUGAGGCUUGUGUAGGUUCAGUUUAAUGAGUAUCUAUAUAGCUUAAUUCACCAUUGAAAGUGUCCAGAGAUUGGCUGAUGAGAUUGAAUAUGUAGCCAAGUUCUGAGUUUCUAGCUCAUGUGCCUUCCACUGAGUGAAAAAUCCUUGGAUAAGCUCUGGGGUUGCUUCAGUUUAAUGAAAUAUUGGGAUAAAUUCAAAGAUUUUCUGCUAUGCUCGUUGGGCUUUCCUCAGUUAAAAAAGCUUUGACUACUUGCAGCCUGCCCUAUCUGAGCAAUUGGCUCAAAAGUUAUUAUUAUUAUUAUCAUGUUUUUUGAUAGUGACUUUAUUUAUGUAUUAUGAGAGGGAAAGAGAUGCUUAACAAACACCUUUGAACUAAGACUUUCUAAAUUAUUUGUUUACAAGUUUUCUUUAACAAUCAAAUCUGUGUUUUUUGGUAAGAAGCAAGAAACCUUGCAUUGGAAAAAUACCAAUUAUUUAGAUAAAGUUCUCAGAUUAGUCUAUGUUUUAUACAUAAGGUAAGCAGAUACACUUUCCAAGCUUUCCAAGUCUUCAAUGGAUGGCCUUUUUUUAAUUUAAAGGUCGAACCCUUAUUCAACAACUACACCCCUUUCCCAUCCUCAACUCAAAGUGGACUCUGCAUAAUCUUUGGGUUUUAGGACUUAUUCGAGGGUAAAUCUAAAGGAGUAACCCUGUGGACAGACCAUCUAUGAUCAGUUUGUGAUUAGUGUCAGACCCAUUAGAUCUUUAUAAGUUGAGGUGAGAAGUUUGCUGCAUGAAUUCGAAUCUACUUUCUUUCCACUUCUUAUCAUCAUGGAGUACAUGACGAAAACUUCAGAUAAAAAUGAAAACUCAAAUUAAACUGUUUUCUUUUCCAUUCUUUCUUCACUAUGUUCAUGACACUUGUGCUUCUCCUACCAUUCAAAUGGUUUAUCUGGACAUCUUAAUUAGUUUCUUCGAUCUUAGUUGAUGGGUUAUAGUGGGAUAAUUUAGAGAAGCAAAAUGGCACCUUUCCAUUUCUGAAUUGUAUGCAGUUGUUGCCUCAAUGUUCAUUUAUUCAUCACCAAUUCCGCCAGCAGUAUGCUGGAAGUAACAGUAGAACUAUUUUACAAUCAGUCAAGUAUUGCUUCUUCAUCAAAAUUCUGCAUAUACUGUAUAUAAUCAAUCAAGCAACUGAGAUUUGUGAUCCAGUUGUUUUUCCACAAGUGAAAUAUCAAAGAUUUGGAUAAGAUUUUUUAAGACAAAUAUUGAGAUGGAGACAGGAGUAGAAGAUGCCUAACAGACAAACUGCUUUAUUUUAAUAUUAGGACCAGAGUCCACACCAAAAGAGCUACAAAAGAAAGUAAUAAACCCUCUUAUUCUAGGAUGAUUGUAAUGAGGUAAUUAAACAUCACAAAUAGUCAUUCAAGCUUGCAAAUCAAAGGUUCCUAGCUUCUUCAUUUUCUCUAUUUCCCCACUAGAAUCGUGCUUGAAGGUAUUUGACCACCUUCUUGUCCAACUGGAAGGCCCUUGCCAGGAAAUCAGGAUUGAUGGGUGGAUUUGAUCCAAAUACUGCAUUGGCUAUGGUGAUUACACCUGGAUUUUGGCUGUUCAGACCAGCAAUGGCUACUGCAUUAAUGUGCCCAAUGUUGAAUUAGAAGUGAAUGAGACCAAUAGGGAACACAAAAACAUCCCCCUUGUUUAGAACUUUGCUAAUGAGGCGGUUUUGAGGGUUGGAUGUGACAAAGCCGACUAAGAGUGUCCCUCCAAGACGGUGAGGAUCUCAGUGGCACGAGGGUGAGUGUGAGGAGGGUUUUGACCGUAGGGUGCAUAAUCGAUACGAACCUGUGAUAUCCCAAGAGUGUUAAGUUCUGGUAUUGCAUCAACAUUUACUGUAGUGACAUUUGAGCCCACUCGAUUUGUUGUGUUUCCUGGGAUAUUCAGCCCUUGAUAGAAGAAAUCCUCGGCCACAGUCAGGUUUGGGUUCUUGCAGAACUUUCCAUUUACAAAUACUGCAUUUAAAAAAAGGGAAAAGAAAAGAUACAUCAUUAGUAUGAAACCACCAUCAAUGGAAAGAUUAAUGAAAAUAGUGACAAGUUCAUUGGUUACUAAAGAAAUACCAGCAUUCUUGGGUUCAUCAAUGGCAACACAAGUGUCCUGCAGUGGGCUUGGAUCAGAGGCAGAGGCAAAAGAUGAAGCCAAUGCCAUGAGGGCCACAGUUACUAGGAAACUAACACCUUUCUCCAUUGUUAGAGUACUGUCUCCAACAAUCACAAAUCUUUGUGUUUAGGUGAGGGGUGAAAAUUUUUGCAUGAGAAACAUGUCAAUUUAUAGAUGGUCUUCAAUGGGUAGGUCCUUUUUUUUUUUUUUUUUUUUUUUUGCUUUCUCACUUACAAGGAUAAGUGUUUUCAUCAAUACGUGUUAAUUUAUGUUGGGUUAGUUAGUAUACUGAUCUUAACUUAAAUAUUUUCAAUGCAUAUGUUGAAAGUGAAGUUCAAUCAGGUGGAGGCAGGUCCAAUUUCAUAUCCAUCUCCAAUAUGAAAAGUUCUCCACAAGAUUUAGUUCCAAAUGGCUAGCUAAUGGAAGAACUACAUAUGGCAAAAUGAAGUGAAAGUAUUCAGGAUUACUUAACCUUUUAAUGCAGCAGAUCAGUCCUUCUGUUUUCUUGGUGACCAAACAUUGAACGAACUCUAAAGUAGUGUAUAUACAGCAAAAAGAAGACCAUUAUUAUUAUCACUAUGGUCUUUGAUAGUGAAUAUAUUUAUGUCUCAUGUACAAAUAUAUUUCCACACUUCUUCACUUUCAUAUGUUUCCAUGCAUCUUCUUUCAUCCACUAUUUUCGCUCCUAUAUUACCAUUUUUUUCCAUCACCCAUCACCCAAAGAGCUUAGUUUGAAUAUAAUCUUGGGGUUAUCUCAAAGUUUCUUUGUGAUUCAACAAGUUUUUUCAUGAGUCAACCAAAUAUUAGACUCAGAUAUCGGUUCAGUACUAGUCAUGGCCAAGAUUUUAACCCUGUUUGAGCUCUCUAUUUCUUUAUACAAUACCCAUUUUUAAAGGCUCGCAAAAUAACCCUAUGAAGAUACAAGAGGAUAGAGAUGCAAAUACAGGGAUGAAAAUGCAAAAGGUUUGAAAACUCUUAACUCUCCAUAUUUCUUCGGUUUCAUGGGUUUCAAUCUUCUUCUCUCAUCAACUAUUUCUGCUCCAAUAUUACCAUUUUUUUUCCAUCACCCAUCACCUGAAGAGCUUAGCUUGGACAUAAUGUUAGGGAUAUCUCAAAGUUUCUUUGUGAUUUAGCAAGUUUAUUCAUGAUUCAACCAAAUAUUGGACUCGGGUAUCGGUUCGAUACCGAUCAUGGCUGAGGCAUAUAUGAAUCGGUUGAGUCGUACUGGUCUCGACCAAGAUUUUGAACCCUGUUUAAGCUUUCUAUUUCUUUGCACAAUACUAAUUUUUGAAGCCUUAUAAAAUAACCCUACGAAGAUACAAGAGGAUGAAGAUGCAAAUACAAGGAUGAAUAUGCAAAGGGUUUGAAGACUUUGAACUCUCCAUACUUCUUCACUACCAUAGGUUUCAAUCUUCUUCACUCAUCCACCAUUUCCAUUCCAAUAUUACCAUUUUUUUUCCAUCACCCAUCACUCGAAGAGCUUAGUUUUGACAUAAUCUUGGGGUUAUGUCAAAGUUUCUUUAUGAUUCAACAAGUUUAUUCAUGAGUCAACUAAAUAUUGGACUUGGGUAUCAGUCUGAUACUAGUCAUGGCCAAGAUUUUGAACCCUUUUUGAGCUCUCUAUUUCUCUACAUAAUACCCAUUUUUGAAGGCUCACAAAAUAACCCUACAAAGAUACAAGAUGAUAGAGAUGCAAAUACAGGGAUGAAGAUGCAAAGGGUUUGAAGACUCUGAACUCUCCAUACUUCUUCACUUUCAUAGGUUUCGAUCUUCUUCUCUCAUUUGCCAUUUCAGCUCCAAUAUUACCAUUUUUUCCAUGACCCAUCACUCGAAGAGCUUAUUUUGGACAUAAUCUUGGGGUUAUCUCAAAGUUUCUUUUUUAUUCAACAAGUUUAUUCAUGAGUCAACCAAAUAUUGGACUCAGGUAUUAGUUCGGUACUGGUCAUGGCCGAGGCGGAUAUGACUUGGCCGAGUCAUACUGGUCUCAAUCGAGAUUUUAAACCCUAUUUGAACUCUCUAUUUCUUUUUCACAGUACCCAUUUGUUAGAAAUUUGAGGCUAAUCCAACCUAUGGUAAUCACCCUAGAGGGGGGGUGAAUGGGGUGAUGGUCUCUUUUCUAACAAUUUAAACAAGUGAAUGCAAGAGACAAUUAUAUGCAAGUAUAUAAUAAUCAAUAUAGAGACAAUUGCAUAUAAAUUAAAGAGUAGGGAAAAGAGAAUGCAAACACAAGAUUUUAUAGUGGUUCGACGCAACCCGGCCUAUAUCCACUCUCCUCUAGCUUCAAUCCUGAGCUUGAGGUUUCACUAAUCCAAGGCUUCCAAACCAAGCCUUCAAGCAAUACAAUUGGAUUAUGGUUCCAAUUCACCCUCUUGGACUUUUGGCUCCAAGCACCCUUUACACUUCUCAAGAGAUAUCCCACUCUUGAACAACCCCUCAAGUGAUACUUCACACUUGAGAAACUUCCUAUCAAAGAUUUACAAAUGAAUGAUCUCUCAAUCUAGCACAAAAACUUUAAGCUCAAAUGAUACAAGAAAAACUAGGAUUGAAUGGUGCACUAAAGAUAUGCAAGUUUUGAAAUAAUGGUGCACUCAAAUAUACUCUUCCAAGGCUCAAAUAUAAUCAAGAAAUAUUUGGGAAGGUUAAUCUCUUGAAACAAUGAAGAUCGAAGCCUUUUUAUAGAAGAAAAAAGCCAAACUAGCCAUUGGGGGUUCGACCGGUCGACCAGUUGACUAGCCAUUAGCAUUUAAUGCAUGGCAAGUGACCGUUGGGCCUUAACCGGACCUCAACUAGUUGAGGUUCAACCUUGACCGUGAAGAGAAGGUCACUGGGAGAAAAAGAAACCUUUUGGCCUCCCUCAACCGGUCGACCGGUUGAGCCAUUUUUUUGGCUCAACACCGAACCAUUUUCAACUUAAAACCUUUUAACACAAGUUUGAAAAUCAUUUAAUACAAGGUUUUAGUUGAAAACAUGAAAUCAUCCAAUUCUUAAGAUAUUUAAAACAAUAUUACUCUUGGAUGAUUUUGGUGCAUAAAUAAAGAAUGAAAUGCAUGAAAGUCCUAGUGCACCAACAACCUUACAAAGAGAUCCUAUGAAGCUUUGGUCUUGAAAAACUCUUCUCUUUGAGGUGGUCUUCUUCUUCAUGAUUUCUUCUUGGUUUGAUUUGUCUUUGUGAUUGCCACUUUGGAAAUCGUCUUGCCUAAUCACACUUGAAAUAUGAUCAUUAGUUCUAAACCUUGUUUUGUUAUCAUAAAAAUCAAGAUUAACCAAACCUUGGUUUCACACCAUUUUUUAAGGCUAACAAAUUAGCCCUACGAAGAUAUAAGAGGAUUAAGAUGCAAAUAAAGGAAUGAAGAUGCAAAGGGUUUGAAGACUCUAAACUCUUCAUACUUUUUCACUUUCAUGGGUUUCAAUCUUCUUAUCUCAUCCACCAUUUUCGCUCCAAUAUUACAAUUUUUUUCCAUCACCCAUCACCCAAAAAGCUUAGUUUGAACAUAAUCUUGGAGUUAUCUCAAAGUUUCUUUUUUAUUCAACAAGUUUAUUCAUGAGUCAACCAAAUAUUGGGCUCAAGUAUCAAUUCAAUAUCGAUCAUGGUUGAGGCGGAUAUGACUCGAUCAAGUUGUACUCGUCUCAACCGAGAUUAUGAAACCUAUUUGAGCUCUCUAUAUAUCUACACAAUACCCAUUUUUGAAGGCUUACAAAAUAGUCCUACGAAGAUACAAAAGGAUGGAGAUGCAAAUACAAGGAUGAAAAUCCAAAGAGUUUGAAGACUCUGAACUCUCCAUAUUUUUUCACUUUCAUGAGUUUUUAUUUUCUUCUCUUAUUUGCCAUUUCCGCUCCAAUAUUACCAUUUUUUUUCCAUUACCCAUCACUCGAAGAGCUUAGUUUGAACAUAAUAUUAAGGUUAUCUCAAAUUUUCUUCGUGAUUCAACAAGUUUAUUCAUAAGUCAACCAAAUAUUGGACUUGGAUAUCUAUUCGAUACUAGUCAUGGUAGAGGCGGAUAUGACUCGACCAAGUCAUACCAGUCUCAACUGAGGUUUUGAACCCUAUUUGAGCUCUCUAUUUCUCUAUACAAUACCCAUUUUGAAGGCUCACAAAAUAGCCCUACCAAGAUACAAGAUAAUGGAGAUGCAAAUAUUACUCGUUGAAUUUCUAGCAAUAAUUGGUUUAUUUUUUAAAUUUUGAACUAUUUUUUAAAAUUAAAUAUCUAUUAAUGAAACAAAAAUACUAACUCUUUCUUGAUUUUCUUCUCUCAUCCACCAUAUCCGCUCCAAUAUUGCCAUUUUUUCCAUCACCCAUCACUCGAAGAGCUUAGUUUGGAUAUAAUCUUAAGGUUAUGUUUCUUUUUUAUUCAACAAGUUUAUUCAUGAGUUAACCAAAUAUUGCAAUGUUUUCAGAACCGGACCGGUGAUCGAACCGGAAAAGUUACCGGUUCACGGUUCACUGGUCGGACCGGCGGUCGAACCGCUAUUGAACCGGUGACAUCAUAAAUAUAUAAUUUAUAUAUUAUUAAAAUUAAAAAUAAUUAUAAAAAUUUUAAAAUAUAUAUGAAUAAAUUAAAAAUCAAUAAUAUUAUCAAAUUAAAUCAUAUUAAUAUUUUUAAUUUUGUUAAAUGAAAUAUGUAAAAUAUUUAAAUAUGAAUAUAUUAAAAAUGAAAAUUUAAACUAAUUUUAUCAUUUUUAAAAAUAUUAUAUUAUUUUUAUUUAACAUUACAAAAUUAAUUUAAAAUCUAAUAUAUAUUAUUUUGUUUAGCAUAUUAACUAACAUAAGCUGUGUAGCCGAGUGGUGCCUUGCAUGCCUUCCAAAUCUGGGGUCCAAGGUUCAAUUCCUCCUGGCUGUGGGGGACUUCUUGUUAUUUUUUUCAUUCAUUUGGUUGGUUAGGAAUCCCACAUCGGAAACAAAGAGAAAUGAGGAAGCCAAGGGUGCCUAUAAAUUCUAUCCACAUUGAAAGCCAACGCAUUCCCUCAUUGGGUGGGCUCAAGACUAAGCCCACAAUAUGGUUGAGUGGGGUUUGGGCUUUGUCAUGAUGAGACAAGCCCAGAAUGGGCAUUUUGCCCAAGACCUUUUUAUGCAAGGGAGCCUUUAAAAUGGAGGUUCAAAUUGAACCGUUCGGUUCGAUUAGAACCGUCCGGUUCGACCGAGUCACCGGUCCGACCGUCGGUUUUGGCGGUUCGUGGCCGGUUUAAAUCUUAAACGGUUCAAUAAGUAGAUCGGACCGGAAUUGUGACCGGUCGACGGUUGAACCGGUUGGACCGGCCGGUCCGGUCCGGUUUUUAAAACAUUGAAAUAUUGGACUCGGGUAUCAGUUAGGUACCGGUCAUGGCCAAGGCAAAUAUGACUUGGUCAAGUCAUACCAGUCUUAACUGAGAUUUUGAACCUUGUUUGAACUCUUUAUUUCUUUGCACAAUACCCAUUUUUUAAGGCUAACAAAAUACCCCAACGAAGAUACAAGAGGAUUGAGAUGCAAAUAUAGGAAUGAAGAUGAAAAGGGUUUGAAGAGUCUAAACUCUUCAUACUUUUCCAUUUUCAUGGGUUUCAAUCUUCUUCUUUCAUCCACCAUUUUCGCUCUGGUAUUACCAUUUUUUUCCAUCACCCAUCAUCCAAAAAGCUUAGUUUGGACAUAAUCUUGGAGUUAUCUCAAAGUUUCUUUUUUAUUCAACAAGUUUAUUCAUGAGUCAACCAAAUAUUGGACUAGGGUAUCGAUUGAUACUAAUCAUGGCUGAAGCGGAUAUGACACGAUCAAGUCAUAUGUGUCUCAACCGAGAUUAUGAACCUUGUUUGAGCUUUCCAUUUCUAUACACAAUACCCAUUUUUGAAGGCUCAAAAAAUAAUCCUACGAAGAUACAAGAUGAUGAAGAUGCAAACACAUGGAUGAAAAUCCAAAGGGUUUGAAGGCUCUGAACUCUCCAUAUUUCUUCACUUUCAUGGGUUUCGAUCUUUUUCUCUCAUCCACCAUUUCCGCUCCAAUAUUACCAUUUUUUUUCCAAUUUUUAUAGUGCAAUGGUUGGCUGUUCACGGACUAGCUGUACCUACCAUUUCUUUUUUGGGGUCAAUAUCAGCAAUGCAGUUCAUCCAACGAUAAACCUAAUCCGAAUUAUAGAGCUACGACACAAUCAAACCCGAAGGAAAGGAUUUGUAUGAUAUCUGAUCUAGGGAAAUAUAUAUAUUAUACUGUGUCAUCCAGAAAAUCGAGUGAUUCCUUAUUACCCAUCACUCGAAGAGCUUAGUUUGGACAUAAUAUUAUGGUUAUCUCAAAUUUUCUUUAUGAUCCAACAAAUUUAUUCACAAGUCAACCAAAUAUUGGACUUAGGUAUCAGUCCGAUACUAGUCAUGGCGGAGGCGGAUAUAACUCGAUUGAGUCGUACCAGUCUCGACUAAGAUUUUGAUCCCUGUUUAAGCUCUUUAUUUCUCUGUACAAUACCCAUUUUGAAGGCUUCCAAAAUAGCCCUACCAAGAUACAAGAUAAUGGGGAUGCAAAUAUUACUCCUUGAAUUACUGGCAAUAAUUGGUUUAUUUUUUUAAUUUUGAACUAUUUUUUAAAAUUAAAUAUUUGUUAAUGAAACAAAAGCACUAACUCCUUCUUGAUUUGGAGUUUAUUUGUUGAAUGAAAUUUUUUGGAUAAUUUUGGUUUUGCGCAUAAGAGAAAUAAUGAACCAAUUGUUGUUCAUAAAUUCAUAAAAUUGGAUUAGCAUUUGAGUUUCAAAUUAUUUUUAAAAGUGCUUACAUUCAUUAAUGAAUCUAAUACACUAAGUUCCUCUUUGGGAUGAAUUUUGAACGAGGCUAAAAGCGUUUCCUAACACUAGAAAGCAAUCUUAAAAAAAUGGUUGAAAAUCACUUUUAAAAAUCUAAAUGAUGACAUGAUUCUUCAAACUAUCACAUUUUUGUUAUAUUAUACAUUACCAAAACAUUCUCUGAACAUAUUUUUUUUUAAAUUUAUAAUAUGCAUUUCCUACAAAACAAUCUUAAAAAAAUAUGUAUAUCAUCGAUAAUUAAAUUACGGUUUGACAGUGAUUUUAGCAAUUGUUUUUAGUUUUUUUAAUACUUUAAAAAUAACAGCAGUGAAUUUAGGAAACGUUUCUAGCUUUUUUAACACUUGAAUGAUAUAAAUUUUCAAGUAUUAGAAAAGUUAAAAAUGUUUCCUAAAAUCACUACUAAACAGGCUUUAAUCAGUAGUAGUAAUUAAUUGGUAUUGAAUAACUGUAAUGCAGUUUCCUAAAUGUAGUAUUGAGACAGAAACAGAGAGGAAGAGAGAGAUGCUUAACAAACAAAUUGCUUUAUUGUAGUAAUAUGCCCAAAGUCCACACCAGAAGAGUUACAACUAGACCCUCUUAUCAUACUAGGAUUGUUAUAACGAGGGAAUUGAACAUCAUAAAUAGUCAUUCAAGCAAGGAAAUGAAAGGUUGAUAGCUUCUUCUUUUUCUAUAUUCCCCCACUAGAAUCGUGCUUGAAGGUAUUCAACCACCUUCUUGUCCAACUAGAAGGCCCUUGCCAGGAAAUCAGGAUUGAUGGGUGGAUUUGAUCCAAACACUGCAUUGGCUAUGGUGAUUACACCUGGAUUUUGGCUGUUCAGACCAGCAAUGGCUACUGCAUUAGUGUGCCCAAUGUUGAAUUGGAAGUGAAUGAGACCGAUAGGGAACACAAAAACAUCCCCUUUGUUGAGGACUUUGCUAAUGAAGCGGUUUUGAGGGUUGGAUGUGACAAAGCCAACUAAGAGUGUUCCCUCCAAAACAGUGAGGAUCUCACUGGCACGGGGGUGAAUGUGAGAAGGGUUUUGACCAUAGGGUGCAUAAUCGAUACGAACCAGUGAUAUCCCAAGAGUGUUUUGUCCCGGUAGUACAUCAACAUUUAUAAUAGUGACAUUUGAGCCCACUAGAUUUGUUGUGUUUCCUGGAAUAUUCAGCCCUUGAUACAAGAAAUCGUCGGCCACGGUCAGGUUUGGGUUCUUGCAGA
rnacentral:lncRNA from 1 species